GGCACGGGGGUGGGGGAGGGAGUGGAGCUCCCCGCAACCCUCGGGUGGGUUUCGGUCCUCCUUUUGGCUUGGGACUAUCGCAUUUCCAAACUCCUGGUAACUACGGAGGGAUGCCUGCAGACCGACUUUCUUUGCUCUGGCUACUCGAGAAGAGUUGGAGCACUUUCUUUCUCUCUCUCUUUUAAUCAGACAGAAAUCAACUAGUGUUUUAAUUGAUGGACUGGAUAGGAUGGUGGGAGGGAUGGAGGCAAGCUACUGUCUCCUCAGGACUGUCAGUGGUGUCAGGGGAAGGGGUUAACUGGGGGUGUGUCGACCAGAAAAGACGUGAGCACGGGCUGGCCAGAGCUAGUAGGAUGCUCUUUGCCUGCCCUGCUGCUCCUCCAGAGUCCUUUGGCAAGUCCGUCCCUGGUCUGGCAGCCCCUGGAAGCUGAACUGAAGGGGGGCGGCUUCUGGGCCCUGGGCCAGGCCAGGGAGGGCACUGGGAGGGGGAAGCCCAGCUCUUGCUCGCCUCCCUAUUCUCAAUCCCUAUCCGAAAGAAGGCGACUCUGGGUGCUGACCGGAGAAUUGAGCUUGGGUGACUGAGAGAUGUCUGGGACUUUCUCACUUUCGCAAUUCCUGAAACAUUCCCUGUCCUUUCCCAAAUGUUUCCAGCAACUCUGGGCCUUCGCGCCACCCUGAGUGUCGCCAUUCUUCACUUCCUUCCCUUAAUUCUGUCAUCACUUGGCACAGAACCUGAGCAGUAGUGCUUACAGGAGAGUGUGUAUGUGUAUAUGUGUGUUGCUUGUGUUUUGUGGUCUCGCCAUUAGCAUCCUGGCUCUUUAGAACAGGAAUUGUUUUCCCCUCCCCCGCCAGUAUCCGACCCCCAAUGUACUCCGCCCCUCCCCACCCUGGUGAAUUGGAUUGGAAGAGGUGAGGUGUCAGGUUGAGGCUGUGUAACUCAGGCAGUCUCAGUGGCUCAGGGCCCCAGUGAGAGCCAGCGUGCUUGAGGUGGGUCUCAUUGUCAACCUGGCUGCCUCCUGUGGCUGGGGGAGCUAGUGGCAAUGCCCAGCGCGGUGCUUCACUAAGGAGUAGGCUACUGGCGUGGCUCUUGGUAUCUGCAGCUCCAGCUGCAAGAAGGCAAACUUCUUAGGUGGUGGUGGUCUCCCUGGAAAGAUAAGGGGACAGGAGAUCAUAGCCUAAAUCUGAAAUUGUAACUCGGUUUUCGGAGCCAAGGGGGAGGAGAUUUGGGACUGUUUGGAUGACUGACCCCUGGAGAUUAUCCUGACAUUUCCAGCCCAAAUAUGAGGACUCUCCCCGGCAUUACCUCUAUGACCAAAACCCCGGGUUUGUGACCAAAUUCAAAGCUCCUUAAGAUGAUCCAUUGCUGGCCAGUGAUGAAUUCAUUCCUGCGUGUUUCUCCGCAAACAGAACAGGAUUACAGCUCAGGUCCUGAGAUUGGUUUUGGAUAGCGAUGGAUUAGGAAACUUGUUAGUGUUUGCAGGGUUUUCCUAGGCUUGUUUCACUAGUUGGCAGAUGGGAAGGUUAUGCCCUGCAAUCCAAGGCUCGAGAUGUUUCUUUCUUCGUUAUGUUUCUACCUUCUAUGUUCGGCAGUUUGUGUUUUCAUUUGUAACGUUCUCAUCGUUUUAAAAAUGAACAGUUCAAAUGAACUCCUCCUGGCACACCCCUGGUUUAUAUAUUUUUUUAAGAUAGUGGAUAUAGGAAACCAUUAGCACCAAAGGGUAUGGACUGUUUUGUUUACAGGGUGAGACUAAGAAAGGUAGCCAGGCCUCUGUGGGCUAUAAUCAUGUGUCAGGACAGUUACUGUCUGGGACAGAAUAAUGCAGAAAUCACUACUAACGAUCUUGUCGUUGUUGUUAUUAUUAUUAUUAUUGGAAUUUAAGAACAUGAAAAUAUACAGGAAAAUGUCUAACCUCUCUCUAGUUUUUGGCUAGAAUUGGAGAUGUAAACAGAGGAGUCUGAAGGUCUUUCAGUGAACUCAUUUUUUAAAGAAAAUUAUAUUUAUGAGAAAAAAAGUCCGUUAUUUCUUAAAGGGAUAGAAAAGCAACAGAACAGAUGGAGCAUACUGACAGAGGUAGAAGCAACAUCAUCUUCUGAUGCUUGCAAGAUUUCAUUCACUACCAUGGCCUUUUGGGGUAAAACCUCGGCACAAACGUGAAAUUUAUGAGUGACAAAUGAGUAUUUAUGAUAUGGUAUCACUGUCACUAACUUCUCUGUGGACAUCAUCAUCCUAGGCUUGCACAUGGGAGUGCAUAUACUAAACUAAGUCUCAAAACGGGCUAUUUAUAUAAGAGGAAUGGGAGUUAUUUCCAGGACAAAAUAUUUAUAGGGCAUGUUUAACCUAUGACCUCUUGCACUUGUGCAGUCUUGAUCUGUUUUGAACAAUAGAGCAUGCCCGACUAAGCAUGUCUUUCAUGAAGCGAAAGAUAAAACUUUUGUAAACUCUACAAAGCCUGUUCACUCCUCUACCCAAGACAUGUACAUAUAAAUGUUGCAAUUGAUACGUCAAAUGUGACAUGUAAUAUUUUGGCAGUUCAUAAUAAUGUGUAAUUAUACGUCAUAUAAAUUAUUGCAUUCAAAAUUCAAAUUUAUUUAUUGAUAACACUAUGUUUUAAAACUAUAAUAUACUUAUAUAAAUUAAUAGUGAACUUCUGUUAGCUUGGAAUGAAAACUAAUGUAAUAGCAUAAUUUUGAUUAAAGAGCUGCCAGUCACUACAUGGUGUUUGCUUACCACUUUUGUUUUCUAUUUUAAUUACAACUUAAAAUUUAAACAUCCUGCCUUUUACUUUUGUACAAACCUUACCACUAAGACUUAUUUUUUAUUUGAUUAUUUUAAUAGUUUUGAAAUUAAAGUAUACUUACAACAUUUUCUUCAUCCCUCUCUUUCUUCCCAUCCCUCCCAUUCAGUCCCGCCUUUUCUCUCUCUUAGAUUCAUGAUUGUUUUAAUAGUAGCUUUCUGAAUUCAGAUAGGCAGGGUGAAUCUGGUCCCUUUACUAGCUGUUUAAAACACUUAAUCAUUAGUAAGAAAACUCCAAUCUGUUCAGUAAAAGGAGUCCUUGUAUUUUUCUCUGUUCAUUGUUUAGUAAUAGGCAUUUAAUUCAUUAUAGUUGAAUUGACUAUUAUUAAGAGAGAGGUGGGGUUUCUAGAACACGCAAAUACAGUUCAUUCAACCUCACAAUUGAAUAAAACCUCAGUACAACUUAAGACUUUCAUAAAUAUUAUGAAUUGUUUAGCUUUGUGUGCUGUCAUGAAAAAACAACCUAAAAUUGGCACUCUACAUGUGUUCAUUCCAUAUCUACCAUGUAACAAGUCUGAUUGUUACUAAAAUGAAUACAUUUUGUUCAUACCCAAAAUUUUACCUAAGAUGUGUUUAGCCUACCAUUAACCAUCAGUAAUAUAAAAGUCAUUAUGGCUUUUACUGGCUACUCUGACUGUUGAUGUAAAGAAGAAAUUGAGGUUGAGUACCAAUUCAUACAAGUUCAUUUUAAAACUGUACUGGCUAUGUACUCAGGAGUAUGGCAUUCUGUGAGUGAAGAAAGUGCUAUGUAAGAAGGCAUUAAGAUAAGAACUUUAAGAAACUUAAAAAUUAUCCAGAUUUUCAUAAUGAACGUAAAUGGAUCGGUGUAUAAGACAUCACAUAUUCAUGUGUCCUGAGUAAAUACUUGAGACCUCUGUGAAGAGUUAGAACUUUGUGAAAAUAUAAACCCAAAAUAGAAUUCUCCCCUUUAAAUAAGUAUACGAUUUGAAGAGGUAGUCAGGAAAGGGCAUUAACAAAAUGCAUCAUUGAGAUACAUAGUUUAUUUUUGUGAUUUCUAUUAAUUGAAAAAAAAGUGUUGGUGAGACUCUAGGGUUUAAUGAAUAAAAUUAAACACCUUGGUAUAACAGGUGUUGGUGAUCAACUUUUCACUAAGGAAUGUAGAAAUAAAUCUAGUUUAAAAAAAAUUCUCAAAUAAUUCAAUAUACUGGUAACAGUCUGUGUGCUACUUUAGAAGAUGGAAAUUAUGAAACAUUUCUCAUUAAAUGUUUAUUUACAGGAAUCUCUCAUAAUCAGUCUUGGUUGGUUUAGCUGAAUUAUCGUUUUGUUCAGACUGUUUACAGCCUUGAACUUUUAUUGUAACAUCUCAUUGCUUUAAAUUUUGUUACUAUUAUAUGAAGGAAACAAACUUUAACAGACAAUAUGUAACCUUUAUGUUUAGAUCAGAUAAGAUGUGUGUUUGCCAGUAGGUAUCAUGGAGGAAAAAUAGAAACAGUUCUGUUGUUAGUGAGCUAGAAUUAUUUCAUGAAUGGAUUUAACAACUAGGCAGGUAAAUGGAAAGCACCCAUUUUUUUUAUAUUCCAUAGUAAAAAAGAGUACAAUUUAAGUUAAACUUAGAAAACUUGGAAAAUCCAUCUGGCAUUGAUUAAUAACAGAAUUAACAGUGGUCAGAUAUUCUUGCUUUGGAAUAUUAUUUCUUUUUAAAAAGUACUGUGCUAUUGUUUUUGUUUUUGUGUUUUUUUUUAUUGUAUUUUGGCUAUAUGUGUGCACCUUUGAGGCCAGCAGGGGGCGGAGGAUCCCUUGAACUUGGUUGUGAGCUAACAUGUUGCUGCUGGGAACUGAAUCCAAGUCUAUUGAUGGAAGAGCAGUCAGUGCCUUUAACCACUGAGCCAUCUUGUGAGUCACGUAAUGGUCUUUUUUUAUUAUUUUAUCCACUUGGAGUUCUGUAUUUUAUUGCUCUGGGAAAUCCUACAGUAUUUUUAGUUAAUGAGUCCAUGUGUAUAAAAGGCAUUAUUAGAACAAAUUAUAGGGAAUGAUCUCUGCAGUAUUUUCUGAGUUCUAAAAUCAUGACUGAAUGGAAGCCAACAGUGCACUAAAUAGUAGGGAUCACUGUAUCCUUACUACUUUAUACUUUACCUUACCAAAACUGCAGUGUGCCUACUAAAUGUUGGAAUCCACCUAUUACCCUUAAUUUCUUCUUAAAUAUGAUGCCUUACAACGUGACUGAAAAAAAAAUGAUUCUAUGAGCACAUUGACAGCUAAUAACAAGCCCUAACCAUCUCUCCCUCUCCCUCUCCCUCUCCCUCUCCCUCUCCCUCUCCCUCUCCCUCUCCCUCUCCCUCUCCCUCUCCCUCUCUCUCUCUCUACCUUAAUGAGUCAAAUCAUUUAAAACAUAGAGAAUCAUCUGGUGAGAAACUGAAGCAGCCUUAAAGUACUAAUGUGCUUCAGGCAAUAGUAAAGUAAAAAAAUAACAGAAUCGAUGUAAUAGGUUUCAUUGUUACCUGGAUUGUGUUUUUCCACCCUGCUGUUCUAAGGAUUUCAAAUACUUAAGUCGAAGUCUUAGAAAAGAGAGGAAUAAAAAUCUGAGCUACACAUACUUUCCCCCGAAAAGAGAUGACAGGGUCUUUUUAUGGAGCUAGUUUACAGUCUCAUUAAAAGUCUGAUAAAUGAAACCAAGAUAUCAGGCUGCUAAUGUGAAAUUAACGUACAACAAAGGCUAUGAUUAUUUUAAAGAGCAUCCUUUUUUAUGACAGAAGUCAUGCCAUCUUAUAAAACAUCUAUGAUGAUGCCUCAAAUGAGAAGAUAAAAAAUAUUACCCAGAAGUAGAUAAUAGAUAAUACUGAACAUUCUUAUAUUUAUUUUUAGUCUUUUGGUAUGGAUAUUGUAGUGGGGAUGCAGUAAGAGAAAUAUGAGUUAUAUAUAAAAUCUCUAGUGUAUAGCUACUAUAUGGUAGGUGAUAGCUAUAGAUACCAUUACCUAUGCAACUCUUCUCUAACUUGUGUGGUUAUUAAGUAUCAUUGAGAGGAGCAGCUUUGGCAACAAGCAUGGCUAAAGAGAAGUGUUACAUUCUACCAGGCUGUCUACUACGUACUUGAAACAUUACUAACCUAUCUAAUCCUUGUAACUUUUAUUUCUCAUUUUAUCUAUGAGAAAACUAAGAUGAUAUGUGUUAAGUCCCUUGCUCAUAGCAUUUGCACUAAUGAAGUGAAGCUUAAAUACCACGUUUGUGUUGGAGAGUAGACAUCUCACUACUAUAUUGCUUCUACUUAUUUUGACUUUGUUUUUUCUUAAUUUAAAAUGGAAGUUUUAAAUUCUUCAAUUAUACCAGUUUUUCUGCCAGCAAUUACGUGUGUGUGUGUGUGUGUGUGUCUGUGUGUGUGUGUGUGUGUGUGUGUGUGUGUGUGUGUGUGUAUGAUUUAGAAGGCUCAAGUCAGUGAUACCAACUCUAAACAAGAACCGGAAUCUAAUUUUUACCAAAAUGAAAAGAUAAAACCUUAUCUAAUUAAUGUCCAAAUCAGAAUACACACACACACACACACACACACACACAUGUUUUAUGAUUCAGAUUGAUACUAAAAAAAGUAUUUGAGCCUUUGUGUAUGAAUUAAUAUCUCACUGGUAACAAUCUUUUUAUUAUCCCCCCCAGGAAGGCAUACUGAGAUUCAGGUACCUGGAUGAGGCAACAUUAAUAGUGAAUAAAUUAGAUUCUGCAGUGUUGAUUUUUUAAGUAAGUAAGUGGUUCAAUAAAUUGUGAAUGUUAUGCAGAUUUUCAAUAUCAUGGCUUAGAACAUAAAAGGGAAAGCCAAGAAGCAUGAUUCCAGAGUCUCAAGAUAUGUUCACGUGUGUGUGUGUGUGUGUGUGUGUGUGUGUGUGUGUGUCUGUGUCUGUGUCUGUGUCUGUGUCUGUGUGUGUUUGAAUGCUGGGUAUCAACCAAGGGCAUGUACAUGCGAGGCAAGCACAUUAGCACUGAUCUACAGCUCCAUUUCUGCCCAGGUCGUUCCAAUGAAGAAAAAAGUAAUUUGGGAAGUACUCAUCUUUUGUUAUCGUAUUGGAUUUGAAGUAAGAGUCUACCUUGGUGGCUGGGAUUUGACAGUUGUUUUACUUUAUGUUUUAUUUAGUGAGUUAGGAGGAUUUAUUAAAUUCUUAAUCAGGUAAAAAAAAGAGGAUUGGGUUGAUUCAUAAUGUGAGUAUUUUGUGUUCAAGUGAUGUGACCCAUUCACUUUCUAGCACAUUAAAAAGAAAAGUCAAGAAGUAGCCUUACUUUGGAAUACUGAUUGUUUCCUUUCUGGUGAGAUAUGAGGAAACGGAUUUCAUCAUAUUGCAAGGUCAUUAGGAAAAAACUGCUCUAUGUGAAAAUUUCCUGUGUGAUCUAGAAGGCUAAAGUCAGUGAUAUCAUCUCUAAACAUGAGCCAGAAUCUAAUAUUUACCGAAAUGAAAAGAUAAAACCUUAUCUAAUUAAUUCCCAAAUCAGGAUACACUCACGAGGUGGCCUGUCAAUGUAAGACAAAUGCUGCCUUAUUCUGCUGAGCUAGUCUGUGUAUUUACGUAUCUUCCUGAAGAUGGAAAGAUAGGAGUCUCCGAGUAAUUAAACUCCAAGAUCCCACUUUCAGGUAAAGAAUAGGACUAUUGUAAGCACAGAACAUUUACUUAGGAUCCUUGCCACUUCUCCUAAACUGUGCAAAUGCUACACAGAUACUGUUUAAGGACAGUUUCAUGUGUAGAAUAAUCUGAAUGACUCAGAUUAAUGUGGAUUUUUAAUUGUACUGUUAUCGUGAUGUUUGGCACAGCAUGAGUAGAUUCUUCACUGUGGAGAGCAUGCUUAUCUGCAACAGGAAAAUUUAAUGAUUCCUAACAGGUUUUUCUCCCUCUAGCACCGCGACCAAGGUUAACAGAUACACUAUUCUGCUACUUUCCUUCUUCACAACAUUGAAAUCUUAUCACAAGAUUUCAAACUGUGACGUCUGUGACAGAAAAAUGCCAAGUUCAGUAUCGCUGACCAAGUCAAUUUUCUUUCAAUGUCAGUGGUUCUUAAUCUUUGCUACAUAUCAUACUCUGAACAAAUGUUCAAGAUAGGGAACAUUUCUCCUAGAACCAAACUCAGGCUAUCAUUGUGUGUCUACACAUAUCGUGUGAACUUUCUAUGAAUGAGGAGUAAGCAAGGAAAGUGAUAAAACAGCCACUGCUAAACUCACAUGUUUUCGAUCUGUAGUGUGAGCUCUGUCUUUAAAGUUCAAAGACUAACAGUCUAUAUUCAUGAAAAUGGAACAAACGUCAGUAUACUCGUAGCUGAAAUUAGAUGGUACACUGUUAGUUUGUGUCAGCUGAUUCAAACUAGAGACAUGUGGGAAGAAGGCCCCUAUGCUGAGAAGUUGUCUGCCGGCAUUUUCUUGAUUUCCAAUGAAGAGAGGAAAGUCCAUCUCAUUGUGGGUGGUGCCACACAGGUCAAUUGGCUCUGGAUUGUAUAAACAGGGAGCUGAAUGGGAGCCUGGAAGCAGGCCAGAAAGCAGCAUUCCUUCAUGGUCUCUACUUCAGUUCCUGCUUCUUGGUUCCUGCCUUCCAUCCCUGCCCUGACUUCCUUCAGUGAUAGUUCAUGACUCAUGAUUUGUAGGAUGAAAUAAAAAUGAACCCUUUUGUCCCUAAGUUGUUUCUGGAACGUGUUUUAUCGGAGCAAUUGAAAUGGAAACUAGAACAGAUGGCUUUAUUCUAGUGAGCACAUGAGCAGUUCAUGAGGAAUUUGGUUAUUUUUGAAGUUUCUAAGUGUGCAUGUCUGUAAGUCCACUGCUCUCUGAAAUUAUCAAGACAACAUGUGACUGACGGCUCAUUCAUUUUGCUGUUUCUGACAUAAGCAACACAGCAUAGCAUUUUUCUAUGAGAUAAAAUAUUCCCAGAGCUCACUUUUAAGCAGGUUCAUAAAACUUGCCCCAGGAAGGCAUCAUUCUUUGUUGUUCUUAGUUUUAUUUUUUUCUGCAAUGUAUAUUUGUGAAUUAUGAAAUAUAUAUUGAGUUUCUGAUAUACGCAAGUUGUUGUUCUGUAGAUCCUGAAGGAUACAUGCAUGAAUAAACUUAAGGACCUACUCUCAAAGAACCUUACUUGUGGGAGGGAGAGAGCCUCAGUUCUAGGUCAGUGGUUAGAGAAAUAUAGGAAAAGCAAAGACCAUGCUAUUGUAUAGUGACCAAAAAAUAGAAGACAGAUCUAUCUCACUUUUUAUGUUAAAUUCUGAGUUAAUUCUGUAAAAACCUCUUUGAGUAAACUUGACAGUAACUCCUGCAUUGUAUCAUGAUUUCAAGGUGAGGGUAAGUCUUUGGAACUUGUAAUCAUAUGUAUUAGUUUGUUAUUUUACGGUAGUGAGUCAUAUUGAUAUAUUCUGAAAUUUUCACCAGUUACAAAGGCUGGGACAUACUUUUAUGGAACAACUCUUGCAAUGAGAAUUUCUGUUGUCAAAGAAUGAUUACAUCACAAUGAUCAGUUAUUAUUUAAAUCUGUCAAAUUAUUAAUGUUUACAUACAUUGGAAUGAGCUUUUUACGUGAGUUCCGUUGUAUACAAUGUGAAUAAUUCUGGCAAAAUUACUGAAAAGAGAAAUUUUCUGAUCAUAAUUCCUCAAGACCUACAGAAGCCAGAGUUUGCUGGAGAGAGGAUUGCGUAGCUUGCAAUGGAGCGGAUGUUACUUUUGGGGGAAAAAAGUCAUGUGUCAGUCACUACCAGAACUGCAUAAACUGGCAAUACACAAAAAUAACCCCAUUGUUACUAGCAUAAGCAGAUAACAUCCAUUGAAGAACUGAGCAAGCAUUUUCUCAUUUUCAACAUAAUUCUAUUCCCAGUGGGGACAUUGACUAAGCAUCUCAGAGUGUCCUCAAACUCCACGUUAUUGUCUCUGCAUCCUAAUAUAAUUGGGAUAUAAUUGGGAUCACCACUCAUGCUCUAAUGUAUGUCCAAAGUUUCAUCCGUAUUUGAUGGAGAAUUUGGAGAGUCAAUUUUAGGAAUACCUAGCAAGCAUAUCAAGGGCUUAAAGCCCAUCACUCACUGGAGGGUUAAGUUAUUCUUGUUAGUUUACUCAAGGAACUCACUAACCUUCCCAUUUCUCUCAUUACCCUUGUAUCUUUUAGCUGUUUGUUAGAGGAUUGCUCUUAAAAUGUAAAUGAAAUGAAAUACAACUAUUUUUGACAUAGUUUCCUGAAUGUUGACAUACCAUUUCUUAGUUUUCCUUUAAAAUAAACUUGAGCCAGUGGUCUAUUGUGUCAACACGUGUUUCUUCUUACCUUUUUAAAAAUCCCUUACAACAAGGUCUCUUCUCAUCACUAAAGCAAAGCUGUCUCUUCCCAAGUCGUCAGUGGCCCAGUUAUUUAAUCUAACAGUCGGUUUUCAGUGCCAGAUUCUGUAAUAUAGAAGGUGCUAGUAUUAUAUAUUAGUAACUCUUGAAGUCUCUGAUCAUUUUUUUUCCAGGUGAUGGAAGAUCCUGUAGUUCCACAUCCUACUGAUAAACCCUGCCACCUUCCUUGGAGAUGAGUUAACUCAAAUUGCUAUACUUUGUUUGUAAUUUAAUUUUUCCUUUUAUUUAUCCAAACUGAAUAAAUUCCAAUAAUGGGUCCCUGACUCUUAAAUUUGCCUAACUAGUAAUUAACGUCUCCAUCUGCAUUUUACUUUCCAAUCUUUUUCUCCUUAUAGACAGUGUUCUCUGUCGCCUUUCCCAUGUCUCUUGGAGAUGUCUCUCAACUAUAUUUGGGGGCCACUAUCAAUUACCUCUAAGCCACAUGAUAGCCUGAUUGGAUAUAUGUUCAAAGUUUGAACAGGUUUUCACUUGUCUGCUGCUUGUACCCAACCAAUGCCCUGUCUUACUUGGGUAUUUACAGUGCUACCAAGGCCCUGCUCUCCCUCUCCCACUCUUUGUCAUCCCCCUUGGCUGUUAUUCCCUGCAACUUCUCUGGCCUUCAUUUUUAUGAAUUUCUAACUGGUUGUCUUUUUUUAAUUGGAUAUUUUUUUGUUUAUAUUUCAAAUGUUAUUCCCUUUCCCAGUUUCCUGGACAUAAGCCCCCUAUCCCAUUCCCUCUCCCCCUUUUUCUAUAAGGGUGUUCCCCCUCCCCACCCACAUACCCCUUCCUGUCUCCCUGUCCUGACAUUCCCCUACACUGGGAGGUCUAGUCUUGGCAAGACUAAGGGCUUCUCCUCCCAUUGGUUCCCAAAACAUCCAUCCUCUGCUACAUAUGCAGCUGGAGACAUGGGUCUGUCCAUGUGUCCUCUUUGGAUAGUGGUUUAGUCCCUAGGAGCUCUGGUUAGUUGGUAUUGUUGUUCUGAGGGGGUUACAAGCCCUUUUAGGUCCUUCAAUCCUUUUUCUAACUCCUCCAAUGGGGACCCUGAUCUCAGCUCAAAGGUUGGCUGCUAGCAUUCGCCUCUGUAUUUGUCAUGCUCUGACUGAGUCUUUCAGGAGACAGCUAUAUCAGGCUUAUGUCAGCAUUUACUUCUUGGCUUCAUCAAUAUUGUCUAGGUUUGGUGGAUAUAUAUAUAUAUAUAUAUAUAUAUAUAUAUAUACACACACACACACACACACACACACACACACACACACACACACACACAUAUAUAUAUAUAUAUAUAUAUAUAUAUAUAUAUAUAUAUAUAUAUAUAUACUUAUGCUGAAUCCCUAGGUGGGACAGGCUCUGAAUGGCCAUUCCUUCAGUCUCUGCUCCAAAAUUUGUCUCCAUAUCCCUAUGAAUAUUUUUUCUUCUUUUAAGAAGGACUGAAGCAUCUGUGCUUUGGUCCUCCUUCUUCUUGAGCUUCAUGGGGUUGUCUUUUCUUAAGCAGCAGUAAUCUUGCUAUAUCAUGAGUGAAUGUGAUAGGUACAAUCAAGUUGACUUCAACUGCUAACUCUUUGAGGCCAAUUCUGGCACCUGCAUAUGUAGUUAUAUGUAGUGUAUGUAUUGCCAUAUAUUCAUGUGCAGGCCAGAGGUUCAAUGGUUCCUCUAUCACUUUCCACCCUAAAGCAUAUGCCACCAAUUCAGAUAAACUAGCUGAUGAGACUAGCAACCCCAGGGAGACCCUACUGUCUUUGUCUUUCCAGAACUGGGAAUACAGUCAUAUGCUACUGUGCCCGCUGUUUUACUUGGUUUUGAGGAUCAAAUUGAGGACCUCAUGCUUGUGCUUCAAGAACUUUACUAACCAACACUUCUCCCUUGGUCCUACUUCUGUUGAUAUUCAUGAGUUUUGGAGAGUUUGCACAACAUAUUUUUCACAUUUUGUUUUGUUGUCUGUUUCUUGUCUGUAUAAUGCUAGCUCUUAGAAGUUAGUAACAUCUGUAUUGUCUCUUUGUAUGUCUCAACUAACAGCUGACUUGCAGUACAUGCUCAUCAAGAAGGAAGAGAGUGAAUGUAGGAACCAGGGAGUUUUCUGUAAGGUUGUUGCUCCUUGUAACAUAGCAACUUCCACUUAUAAAUUCUCACCAAUGUGACUGCUCAGACAUGAGCUUAGCAAGUGGACAUACCAAACUGACAGGGAAAAGCCUGUGAGACCUUAACCCUACACAAAAUCCCACAGACAACUAGGGAAUACUGAGCAGGAGAAUUGUCUUUCCCAGGAAAGAGCACACCUGGUUUUCCAAUCUCAAAUGUUAGCUCUGAAAACAUACAUGCAAGUAACAUUAUACAGGUUGAGCAGAUUGUAUAAUACACAUGAAAUAGCAAUUAAUGUAAAAGAGGCCAUGGAUUUGAAUAAGAACACUGAGAGGUAUGUGAGAUUUUUGGAGGAAGAAGAGGGAAGAGAGAAAUGUUGUAAUUAUAUUAUGAUUACCUGAGCCAUAUAAAAUACAAAUAAAUAGUAUCUUUUUCUAAUUCUAAAUGUAUUCUCCUAAACCUGACCUCAUACAGUUCACAGCCAUCACCAUUUACUUUCUACCACUUUUCUAUAUGUUCUGAGAAUUAAUAUACAUAAUACCUAUGGGCACAGUCUUUUGAAUUCUUUCCACUCUUAUCUAUUUAUCAAUGUUGUUUGAAUGAGUUCAUGUUUUCUCUUCUUUGAUUUCACAAUAGAACAACAUUCUAUCCUUUGAAAUGGCCAAAGGUUUUCCUGGGGAAUGCUGUCAUGCUGAAUGAUGCUUUAUAUGCCAAAACUCAAAUUACACAAGACCAAGCAAACAAAACCUUAUCAAAUCUUCACUGUUCUCAGUCCAUUGGUUCUUAAAGUAUCCCUUCAAUAUUAAAAUUCUCAACAAAUUCUUCCUGCAUAAGCCAUGAAUUUGGUGUGGAAUACAACCGAGAAAUCUCACUUGCUUUUUAAUACAAGGAUGUCACGUUAAGAUCUUUGAAACAAUAGCAUGAUCCAUCAAUCAAUUAAAAUUCUUUCAGUAUAACAUGUAAAUGGAAAUGGAGAGAGAGAGUAUAUUUACAUUCAAAAAAUAUAACAUUUACCUUUCUUCCUGCUUGAAUAUUGUUCAUCUUCUCAUUAACUUUUGCAAAUUUUAAACAAAGUGGAAAAGACAUUUAAAAAUUGACAAUGGGUCUUGUUUGAAUAAAAGUCUAGUACACUAUUUGAGAAUCAAGCAUGAACAGCUUAGUGAGACCUAACAAACAAAAAGCCGAGGGACUGCAGAAGCUCUACAUUCAGCUUCCCGUAUUUUUCUCUUCUAUACUCCCUCUAGUGUUGGAAAAUAUGGACAUUUAAAAUUAGCCCAUUGUCACUUUAGCACAGAUGGUUGUGUGGAAACAGGGUUUCUCCAUAAUAUUGUUUUUUUUUCCUUAAAUAAUGUUACUAUGACCCUAAACUCUCAGAAACCACCAUCCCCCCUUCUCUGAAGAUGCUGCCAGGCCUGGCUCUCCCAUGCCCAUGUGUAGAAUCUCUGUACUUCUGUCAGGGACACAACUGGAUUUCCAUCUCUGUCUUUUUCCUCCAUUUGUAAACACCUUCAGUCAAGAGUUCUGAUUUGCAACUUAAACAUGAUCAGGUAUCUACACAUUCAAAAGAUAUGCAAGCGAAAAAUAAAAAUCCCUGUUUACUCUAUGAAUUGAAUAUGGAUAGGAAAACAUUAAUGAUGGAAUUUUGCUAUAAUAUACUGAAAUGCCUUUUAGAUAAAUCCCUUUCAAACUCCCAUAGGAAAUAGCCAUAAAAUCUGCAGAAGAAAAGUGUUAAAAUGAAAAAUAUAUGCUUAUUUAACAUAAAUUACUAGUAAUUUUAGCACAUGUAAAUGAUUAACCUGUCAUGAAAUUCCAUUGCUAUUUGCUGUUUUUUUGUUUGUUUGUUUGUUUUUUAUAAGUUAGGGCCUAGUGUAUACAUUUCUUUUCUAAAUUAACUGACGAUAUUACAGAAACAAUGUGACCUAUAGUUUUUAAGCCAUCUUAAUAUUUACCAUUAAAUUUCAGUUUCUUAUUAUUCGAUAAAGUUAAAACACAUGAAGAGAGUAUUCAACACCACUGCCCUCCUUCUGUCCUCUGAGCAUAACAAGGCUUUGGUACCUUUGAGUUCACCACACAAGGUCCCCAAGUUUGAGCCUAACAGCAUUCUGUCAGGAAGCAGGAAGGAGAUCAUGAGGUGCUCUCUGAAGACUUGCAUACCACUAAUGACUGCUGAGGGGAAAUGGGACAUUAAUUUUUCUGUAGCAUAGUUACUGGAAACGUGUCCGUGCUCCUGGAGAGAACCUCCCCCCCCAUUGUGCUCCAGUAAACAAACCUGAGACUAGAAAGGAAAGUAAGUAGGAGAGGGUAGUCAUUGAGGAAAGGAUGAGGACCAGCAGGGAUUGGAGGGAGGAGGGAGAGGGAAAGGGGGAUAUAAGGUCAAGCAAUGUUUCUCUCUCUCUGUCUAUCUUUCUCUCUCUCUGUCUAUCUAUCUAUAUAUCUAUAUCUAUCUAUAUACAUAUAAUGCAAUAAGAAAUUAAAGGCAAAAAUAGAAUAAAAUUAUUUUCAAUGAUUUUUCAGUGAUACUGCUUCAAAUUUCUAUUUGCUAUUUGGUAGUAUAUUAAAAGAUUGAUACACUUUAAAAUAGGACUUAAAACUUAACAGGCACUCUUUAGAAUUCUUCCAAAUUUAUUUUAUGUACAUAAUACUAGAUUAUAACUGUUAUGUUGCAUGCCAUGUUGGAAACAAAUUUUUAAUAUAGAGAAUAAUGUGGUACAGUGCAUGCACUCUUGAUUGUUUCAUGAACCACAAAUGCUUGAGAUUUCUCCAUCUGUUUCCUGAAGUUACUAAUACUCACAAAUCAAAGGAUUAUAUUACCAGUAGCUUCUUAGCAUACCAGAGCCAUGCAGCUCGGUGAGAGCUGUGCUGGCCAGUGAUGUCCUGGCAUGUUCCAGGAGCAGUAGAAGGCUUUCAGGAAACUGUCCAGGAGAAUCUUCAUUCGUAAUGUGUGUUUCUUUCCUCAAGGUACCAAAAAAAGUUCCAAGUUGUGCUCAAGCAGUUUAGUGUUACUUAAUAGAACCAGCUUUAAUGCUGUACAAUCUAGCUUUCAGAGAUUUGAAAUGUUUCUAGCUAUGCUAAUGCUCUUAUUGGAUUAUGAAAAUGUUUCUUUUUUCCCUAAAUACUUGGGAAGAAAAAAAGAUUUAACAUCUUACAUUUUUUUUCUUUAAAAAAAAUUAGAGAUCAGACCUGCCAUUAGAUCAGAGUUGCAGAAUGGGAAAAAGAAACACAAAGCAUUGUCAUUGGAUGGGUGGAUGGAGAAGGGGAGGCUACUUUGCUUGGUUUGGGUAACCCGGAAGGAUGAGCAUAGCUACAGGAAGUAGGUCAUUGGGGGUGGCCUUCUCCUUCUGUUUUCAUUUCUUCUUGCCUGUCAAACAGUGAGAAUAGCCUUUACCAAAGGCUUUAAGUGACUAGAGUUUCUGCCCCAGGCCAUGGUACAAGCAAAUAUGGGGAGAAUUUUAUGGAAUGGUAAGCUAAAACGAUUCCUUCUAUCCUGAAGUUGGUUUCUCCAGAAACUUGCCAGAGCAAUGGGAAAAUGAGCACAUAUACCACUACAGAUAUUCGCUUUCUUUAUUAGCAGGAAAGGAGUCUAACUCACGUAGGGCUUUGUAAAUUCUCCUACAAGCCUUUGCAAGAGGUUUUGUUACUGUAAAAAGUAAAGAGGAAAAUAAAGGUGUUAUUCCAAUACUUGUGACAAAUUAUAGAAAGAAUAUUAUAAUUAUUGAUACAGGAAGAAUAUAAUAUAUUCCACAAAUAAAGUCAUAAUUUUAAAAUCAGAUGGAUCUUUGAAUUUAAGAAAAACUUUCUAUGAUGCUCUAUUUACAGUGUCAUAAAUAAUGUAUUUGGCUAAUGAUAAUAUGAAACUGAUAAUAGCACUUUAAUAAAAUUGAGCAAAAUUUAUAUAACAUUUCAAGAAUGAUAUUAUUGACAAAAAUUUAUAAACUUAAUUAGGAAGUAGUUCAAUCUUUAUAGUCAAAUUGAUUUGCAAUCCUCAAGUAAACCAGGAAAUAUCCAAUCUGAUUUACUAUCUAAUCUACCAUAUUGAUACAAAACAGCUCAUGAUUGUUUUAUUUGGGUGUUGUUACUAAGAUUGCCACAAUUUUCAUAUUUAUAAGCAAAGUUUAACAUGGGAGUAAAAAAUAUUUCAUAUAAAAAUGGGGAAAUUGACACUUGUUAAAUUUUACCUAGGUUUCUUGUCCCAUUGCUGUGAUUAAAAUAAAAGCAAGUAAGGGCUUGUGUGGGAUGGGAUUUUGUUUUUUUGUUUUGUUUUUUGUUUUUUUUUUGUUUUUUUGUUUGUUUUUUUUUUGGCUCAUAGCCCAGUAGGGAAACCACAGGAGGGGAAGUCACAGUUAGCUACAAGAGCCUGAGGAAGCCUGCUACAUUGCAACCAGAGUAAAGAAUUGUACUGAAAAAUUCUUGUUCUCAAUCAUCUUUUUAUGCAGCCUAGAGAAUGGUGCCUCCCACAGUGAGCAUAUUCUAGCACCUCAGUUUACCCAAUUAAUACAUUUCAGAUGCUCCAACAUAUCACAAGGACACAUACUCUACUUUGUUCAUAGCAGACUAAUUUAUAAUAGCCAGAAGGUGGAAAGAACCAAGAUGUACUUCAACAGAGGAAUGGAUACAGAAAAUGUGACACAUUUAUAUUGUGGAGUACUACUCAGCUAUUAAAAACAAUAACUUCAUGAAACUCUUAGACAAAUGGAUGAAAUUAGAAAAUAUCAUGCUGAGUGAGGUAACCCAGUCACAAAAGAACAUACAUGGUAUGCACUUACUGAUAAGUGGAUAUUAGCCCAAAAGCUAGGAAUACCCAAGAUACAAUUCACAGACCCCAUGACACUCAAGAAGAAGGAAGACCAAAGUCUAGAUGCUUCAGUCCUUCUUAGAAGGGGGAAUAAAAUACACAAUGGAGGAAACAAAGAGACAAAGUGUUGAGCAGAGUCUGAAGGAAAGACCAUCCAGGGACUGCCCCAACUGGGGAUCCAUCCCAUAUACAGUCACCAAACACAGACACUAUUGCAGAUGCCAAGAAGUGCUUGCUGACAGGAGCCUGAUAUAGCUGUCCCCUGUGAAGAUCUUCCAGAAACUGACAAAUACAGAGGAGGAUGUGCACAGCCAACCAUUGAACAGAGCAUGGGGUCCCCAGUGGAGGAGUUAGAGAAAGAACUGAAAGAGCUGAACAGGUUUGUAACCUCAAAGGAAGAGCAACAAUAUCAACCAGCCAGACCCCUCUAUAGCUCCCAAGGACUAAACCACCAACCAAAGAGUACACAUGGAGCAACCCAUGACUCCAGCCUCAUAUGUAGCAGAGGAUAGCCUUGUCGGGCAUCAAUGGGAGGAGAGGCUGUGGUUCUGUGAAGGCUCAAUGCCCCAGUGUAGGAGAAUGCCAAGUCAGGGAGGCAGGAGGGAGUGAGUGGGUGGUUGGGGAAGAUGGGGUAGGGGAGUUUCAGAGGGGAAACCAGGAAAGAGGAUAACAUUUGAAAUGUAAAUAAAUAAAAUAUCCAAUAGAAAAAGAGAUUUCACAAAGCAUGUACAGAGAUCCAUAACCCUGGUGAAUGUACAUCUCAUCUGUUUGACAAUUCAGAUUAAUUAUCUCAAAAUAUAUAAUAACCUGUGGGCAUUUUCUCAUAGUAAGUAGAACCUACCUCAUAGGAGUAUUAUAAAAUGUUAAUACACAAUUAUUGAUGGUCUGGUCUCAUAAGUUUCUAAGAGUUUUUUCUUGACAAGUAUAUUUAGCUGGUCUGGAGAGAAUGAGUAAUUUGAAUAAAUGAAAUUUGUACCUAAAGUUCUGUAUCUGCUCCACUUUUACUACUUUUCUUAUUUCAGAAUUCAUCUAUCAUAUUAUUAAUCCCAGCACUUAGGUGGCAGAAGCAAGAGGAUCUCUUUUAUUUCUAGACUAGCCUACACACACACACACACACACACACACACACACACACACACACACGUUUACACACACAUAGACAGACAGACAGACACACACACACACAGAGUUGGGGGUGAGAGAGAGGGGGGAGAGACCGACAGACAGAAAGAAAGACAGAGAGACAGAGAGAAUAUAUAUCCAGCUAUUGUAUAGGCUAACACCAUGGUGCAUUAUGCUAUAAUCAUAAACUACCCUCAAAUGUCUGUUAUGUAAUUCAACAGUAGUUCAUUUUGUCCAGUAUAAAAGCACUCUCCAAAGCCAGUGAGUGAAGAUUUGUGCUCUAGUGGGUCAUCCUUGGACUCUUGUGAUUCUCUUGUUGCCAUUGUGGUCUCAGAGGAGAAAUGCUAGGAGAACCAAUAUCCAAAUGAAUGCUUUAAUCUGCAAACAAAAUAGAUUUUUCUGUGCAUACAGAAGUGUGUUCCAUCAGGAAAUGUAAAGCAAUGGAGCUUUACAAACCCACAGUGGAAAUGAAAUCUGUUGGAACUUGAAGGCUCUGUAGGAUCCUAUCCACAACUUUACUGGAUUAUCCUUUUCAAACAAGGUUUAUGUGAUAUUAAUUUUGUAGGAUUUUACAUAUAAACACACACAUAUAUGUGCGCAUGUGUAUACAUGCAGAGUUUCAUGCAUAGAGAAGAUGACCAAUUCAACAUAUUGGUAUUAUUUUCCAAAUGUUUGAGGAUAAACAUUUUGCCUUUUGGUGGUGGUAUUGGGGUAAGGGAUGCUAGAGAAAUGGUUCAGUGGGUAAGAGCACUUUGUAUUCUUCCAGAGAACCUGAAUUCAGUUUCUUCAUCCAAUGUUAGGUGGUUCACAAUCACCUGUAACUCCAGCUCCAAGGACCUCUUGCUUUCUUCUGCCUCCCACUUCUAGGCAUCUGCGCAUGGUUGCCAUUCUAUCAUACAAACCAUGCACACAUAUACAUAGAUAAACUUAAUAAUAUAUAAAUCUUUUAAAGAAUGUUUUUCCUGAGAUUCUGUGUCAGAAUUAUUGAUUUGUAAAGAACUAUUCAUGAAUUUGAAAAUUGAAUGAAUGUCAGGAUGUGUCAAAAAUUUACCUUUUGUGGAAUCUAUAGCAAAUCAAGGAUAUGUCACUUUGUAUGUGUCAGUAAAACUGUAAAUAGAAAAAUAUAAUGUACCCUUUAUUCUAUAAUAGUGAACAUUUCUGAAUGCUUCAAUAACAAAAUGGAGCUCAGAACACAAAAUCAUAGUCAAAAGUAGAUAUCUACUAUUCUCUAAGCAAUUCUUAACUCGUGUGAGCAAGAACACAAAGUAAAAUUAGUAGUUUUUGAGUUUCAACUUAGUCUGAGCCAGUUCAGGACAUUUCCAAUCUUAUUUGUCUAUAGUAGGCUACAGACACCAAAUCAGAAUGGGCACAGACUUCCUUCGAUAUUUGUAUUCUGCCCCUAGUGUGAAACAAAAAAAGCAAGCAAAUAUAACAAUCUUAGAAUAACCUCUAUGAAACAAGCAUGCUCACCAACAAGGGUGGUUUUUUAAUAAAAUAAAUCCCUAGCUACGCCAUUUAUGCCCAUGAACAUGCAUAUUCUGCCUGAAGCAUGAACUAUGGCUAAGGCAUUGUGACUCUCUGGUAAAACAUGAAAAGAUCAAAGACAUUUCCAUCCCCAAAAGCUGUAAACUUCAAAAACAUGAGCUUUCAGAAAAUAUCCUCUUUCCACCAGAAUUUUGCAUAAAAUUGCAGAAUGCUGUCUUGAAUUCAUAGAAUAAAAUCUGCAAUGACAAUUUUAGUUUAUUUUCUUUUUACUAAGAUGAUGCAAUCUUUAGAAAGAACAGCACUUGGACGUCUAUGGAAUUCUGAAUUCUAUCAGUUACGUAUACUUUACAUAAUUUAAAUUAUUUGGUAUGCAAUUUGAAUAAAAUUCUAAAAAUGUAUAUUAUUUUAUUAGUUUUAUCUUUGUGUAAAAACUGGCAUUUUACAAAAAAAUUUGAGACAUUUUAAAACUUUAAGAAAAAGCAAAAAAUAAAUAUUGGCUAUUUACUUUUUAAUUUUUAAAAGAUUUAUCUAUUUAUUUUCUAAUUGUGAGUAUACUAGCUGUUUUUAGACACACCAGAAGAGGGCAUCAAAUUCCAUUACAGAUAGCCACCAUGUAGUUGCUGGGAAUUGAACUCAGGACAUACGGAAGAGCAGUUAGUGCUCUAAACCACUAAGCCAUCUCUCCAGCCCAAUAGUGCUAUCUUUAAUUUUAAGAAUAUUAUUAAUGCGAAAUUAUAAAAAGACUGUCCAAUAAGUGUCUAGAAUAUUUGGUGAGCACAGAAAGUGCCAAAAUUACAUAGCAAUCACCAUGGUCACCUCUUGGCUUAUAGCAUCUGUUUGUACUUGUAAAUGUGCUAGGGUUCUCGUUAGUGGAGGCAGUGAUAUAACAUGCACAUCAUGCAUUAUGAGUGGCUAUGACACUUGCAGAUGCUGGUUGAAUUAUGACUACGUUUUCUUCCAUGUGUUUCUCUGCUAACACAUUAAGCCUCCUGAAGUGACUUCAGAAGAAAGGAAAAUAAUGAGGUCCCAUGAUUUAUUUUCUAGGCAAUCUGUAAACAUGACAGUGACAAUGCCUUACAAAUGCCGUACAUCACCACCUCCUCUCCUCGCUCUGUGUGAGCUUAGGCACGAGGUUGAGUGGCUAUACACAUACAUUUUUAGUGUUAUUCCUGUUUUGAAACUACUAUUUGUAGGCAAUGUUUAGUUCACAAAACCUUGGCAAUAAACUGUUACAUGUACUUGAUAAAUCAGUGAAUUUAGGAUACCAUAAUUACAAGCAUAAAUGUGUCACAAAUUGGUAAAUGGAACUGAUAAAUUAAUAUUCAUGUCUUUGUCUACUUUUAAUUUGAAUUCACAUAUGCAACACAUGCUGUAUAUUUAAAAAUUAGUUUUGUAACUAGUUUUUUGCUUAUAUGUUUUAUCUUCCGUUAAAAGACAACAGAAAAGAAAUAUUCAUUGUGACAGAGUAUUUUAUGCCAAAAUGUACCUUUCUUUGUGUUAUUUAAUGAGUCUUAACGAGUUGAUGCUGUUCGAUUUUUAAACUUAAGCUUUCAGUCUGAAAUAAUUGUAGAUUCGCAUGCAUAUAUAAAGAAGGAUGCAUGGAGAUCUCUUUGACCUUCUCCAGCCCCCUGCAGGGAAAUACCUUUCAAAUCUUCAGCAAAAUCUAAUAAUCAGGAUAUUGACAUCAAUGGAGUUGUGAUUCCAAACUUACAAUGCAAAAAGGAUUUCUCCAGGCAUCUUUUACAACUCUCCCAAAAUCACUACCAUGCUCAUUCAUUCCCUAACCACUUAAAACCUUUUUCUGUACAUUUUCUUUUGCAAUAGUUAUAGUUAUCAAAUUAUAUGUACUCUUUUGAACCUUUGUUUACCUUAUAUAAUUAUCUAUGGAUCAACAUGUCCAAACGAUUUGUCCCUUUUUACUGCUGACGAGUCUGUCAUGCACCAUCCAGUGUUGAAAGUUCACAUGUUGAAGGACAUCUGUGUUGUUGACAGUUUGGGAAUCUGAUGAACAAAGCUGGACUGAAUAUGUAUCUAUGAGUUUUCCCUUGAGCAUAAGUCAUCUUUUUUUGUUGGAAAUUCUGUCCGAGCAUAUAAUUUCUGGAUCAUGCUGCAGUUCUCUAUUAAUUAGAUUCAUCAGAAACUGUCAACUGUACUCCUCUGUGGUUGGGUCAUUUUUCAGUCUGACUUACUCUGCAUGUGCUACCGUUUCAGUUGCUGUCCCUCUUCACCAGCAUUGAAUGCUGCUAUUUAUCUGGGGGCAUCCUGACAAGAGUAAUGGGUUUAUUCCACAAUAGUUGGUGGCGAUGAUAUUGAGCACAAGUCCUCAUUGAUCGACUGUCUUUUUGAUGAGCGUUAUUGUUUAUAUAUGCUUGGCCCAUGAGUAGCACUGUUAGAAGUUGUGUCCCUGUUGGCAUAGGUGUGGCCUUGUUGGAGUAGGCUUGUCACAGUGGGUGUGGGCUUUAAGACCCUCUUCCUUGCUGCCUGGAAGCCAGUAUUCUGCUAGCAUCCUUCAGAUGAAGAUGUAGAACUCAGCUCCUCCUGCACCAUGCCUGCCUGGAUGCUGCCAUUUUCCAGCCUUGAUGAUAAUGGACUGAACCCUCUGAACCUGUAAGCCAGUUCCAGUUAAAUAUUGUCUUUAUAAGACUUGCCUUGGUCAUGGUGUCUGUUCACACCAUUAAAACCCUAAUUAAGAUAAUGCACAUGUCUUUCUGUUUUGAAACUUUUUGGUUUUGGGUUUUUUUUUUUACUAUUGAAUUUAGACAGUUCUUUACAUACUUUGGCUACUAGUCCCAUGUCAAACAUCAGGUUUUCUAAUAUGUCACCUCUAAUAUAGCAUCAGUUUGACUUUUUUUUCUGCAGAAUUUUUAGUGAUUCAAAUAUACAAUUUUAUGAAGUUAAACUUACUGUUAUUUAUAUUAGGAAUAAUGCUCUAGGUAUCAAGUGUAACAUUUCUCUGCCCUGUAUAUUGAACAUUUUAUCCUACAUCUACAGUGUUGGUCUAUUACUAUACCUUAUGCCACAAUGCUUCCCCAAAAGUUUAUAAUCCUAUACUUGGCAUGUCACUCUGUGGUCCACUUUGAGUUAUAUUUUAUGAGGUAUCAGUCAGAUUGAGGCUGUUUGCUUUGCUAUGGAAGCUACAUUUCCAUUUAAUACCAUGGAAGCGUACACCUUAGCAUUCUUCCAUUAUGUGCUUUUCAACUUUUAUGAAAAUACAUUUAGAGAUGUUUCGUUGGAUUAUGAAUUUGCUGUUUAUGAGUCCCCUCAGUAUAUGUUUCCAUCUUUUCAAUGACACUGCAUAGGAUAUAAAUAAGUACUCUCAUAUUAGUCUUGAAAUCGUAUGGACUAACUCUUCUUACCUUAGUCUUUUCCAACUAAUUUUGCUAUUCUAAUUCAUUUAAUUCUAACAUCAACAUUAGGAUCAUCUUGCAUAUGCCUUAAAUAUAGUUCUGUAAGGGAGGCCACAGAAUCCCCUCCCUCCCACCCCCCAAAUAUCCCAAUUCAGUUCCUUGGCCACUUCUUGAUUGCCCACUAGAGCUAAUUGGUAAGACCCUAUUAGGGUUAGGAAACCACAUACCUUGGUAGUAAGGUUUAGAAAAAGCAAGCCAGAACUGAACUGGAAGCUUCCUUCCUGGUGGAUAUAGGUUAUUAUGUGGGGGAAAGUAUCCAGUAAUUUACUCAGUUUUGAGCUCUAUUACUCUAUUGUAGCUGGUCUUCGCUACAUUGUGAGUUGUUCAUUUUCCCACCCUUUAUUCUUCAGUCCUCUCCCCACACUAGUUAGGACAGAAACAAGGAUAGGGAAGGGAGACAGAGAGAGAUCAUUGAAUGUAAUUUCUUCCCUUUUGUUUCUUCUUUGACCACAGCUACUAACAAACUACAGUCAACCUCCGUAAAUUACCAACAGCCACCCACUCCACCUAUCAGGGCUCUAGCCUUUAUAUAACCUCUGAAAACUCCCCAGAAUUCCAAACGUCAUGUAAUCACAAAAACAAUCUGCAGCUGGCAAAACAAUGCCUCUGCGAGAGCAUUAGGCUAAUCACAGUCAGCUGUGCACAGUCCACAUGCCUACACCCGGGAGUAAAACGAAAGGACAUUGGUUUAAUAUUUCUGUGUUUUCUAAAGAAAUCAAAAUUCCAGAAUUCUCAAUAGUGUCACUAAAAUCUAUCAUAUCAAUUGUCCAGAAAAGAUGUGUCCACCUAUACAAUAGUGGCACAACUGUUAUGGGAAUAACCAACUACUCUAAUUGUAUUUGAAGCCUGCUUCACAAGAUUUCAUGCCCAGUAUUGUAAAUCCAGUCAAAAGAAGGCUAAGAGGUCUCAAGUUCUAGGGGGAAUUUAAUUCUGUUGUUUAGCUAAACUGUCCUGAGUGCAAGCUGCCUUCCGAAUAUUUAUGUUUUUACCCACAGAAAAUGGUACUCCCAGCUUUAAUCAGAGAAUGCCUUCCUGUUAAUGAAUAGUAAUAAAUACACAGACACAUUAAUCCCUACGAUGUUAAGAAUAUGUAACUGGUUGCUUAACCCUAAAGAGAAACAACCUCAGGGGUUGGGGAUUUAGCUCAGUGGUAGAGCGCUUGCCUAGCACGCGCAAGGCCCUGGGUUCGGUCCCCAGCUCUGAAAAAAAAAAAAAGAGAGAAACAACCUCACUGAAACCUCUUGGCACAAUUCAGAAAGAGGGACAGAAAUAAUAUAAGAGUGAAUAGGGAGAUGGGCUACGAAAUGCUGCCUCUGGGGAUGGCAUAUCUAAUACAGCCAUAAACUCACAGUAGCUGAGGCUACAUAAAACUUUCAACAAUCAAACAUGGAAGGGGGGACUAGCUUAUGGAGCUUUCCUUCUGCAUGACUGCCUCCCAUGGACUCUGAGGGAGGUGUGGUCAUUACCUUUUGUUAUAUAUACACUGAGGAGGUCACCAGGCUUCAAUAGAUAGUUCAAAACCAAUGUCACCCCUGGAAUUAAACAUGCCACUCAAAACAGCAGUCACCACAAAACCACAAAAGAUCUUAAGUUUAUAUGGGAGCCUAUAAAGAAGAAAGGAAGUAAUAGAGACAUGAGGGAAAUUGGAGGGGAGGGACUAUAAUCAGAAUGCACCUCAUACACACAUAUGUACAUAUAUGUAUAUAUACAUGCGUGUGCAUGUACGUGUGUGUGUGUGUGUGUGUGUGUGUGUGUGUGUGUGUGUGAUAUUGUAAAAGGCAAACUCACUUGCCAAUAUCCUCUUGGCGCCGGGACUUCUUUAUUACCUCCGCUUUCCAUGCUGAUAUUUGAUAUGGUCUUGGGUCCUUUGGGACUUGUAUAGUCAUUGUGAACUGUUGCUAAACGACAACUCCCGGGAGGAAGGGAGUCCGUUUUCCUUAAGAAAGUUGUGUCUGUUAAGUCAACUACGCUCCAGUGGAAUGGAGGUCUAAGAAUGUAUGGCCAGGAAAUAGUUAGACUUAAUGGGUGAGAAAGCAGGGGACAUAAAUGUGGGUAACAGGGAAAUAGGGGUAUUUCGGAGUGGUAGCUGGUAUGAGAAUUAUCAAAAUAAUUAGGAGGACUAAUUUUAUAGAGUAGGGAUAGGCUUAAAUGCACAUAAAAAUUAUGAAGGAAUGAUACUUUUCUCAUAAGUUUAACUAAGUCCUAGAUAUUUAAUUUGUCAAAGAAAAGGUAACAUGGUGAUGCUAAAAUAUAUGCCCCUCCUAAUUUAAACUGAAUGUGAAAAAGAGAUUAACUUUUUGGAAAAACGAUAGCUUAUGAAAUUAUUACGGAGUCAUUUUUUACUAUCCUUUCUUGACCUUAUUCUUCCAAGGAAUUUUUUUUAUUAAAACAUAGCAUGUUUAUUCUGUAAAGAGGUAUUGAAUCAAUAUUGUUUCUCAAUGUAUUCACAUAUCUCCAUUUGUAGAAAGAAGUGGAGUUAUCCAAGUUGAAAAAUUGGGAUAUAAUGUGAUCUACUGACUUAUCAAGGAGAAAAAUUAUUAAUGUACAUAUCAAAGGUCACUGGGGAAGAGAGGGAAGGCUCCAGUAUUCUCAGAAUGAAAUGUCUUCGUGAUUCACUGUGAACUGAAGCAACUCCUGGAGGAAAAUUUGUCAGGACAAUCAGGACCUUUCUCAACUUUCUGUAACAGUGACUCCACUUGAAGGAAUUACAGAUAAAUAUAGAACAAUGACAACAUCAAUAUCCUGUUAAUUCUACUGCAAUCCUUAAACAAUUUAAUGUUGUACUUUUAGUACCUUUUUAAGUUUAAUUUUUCAUUAUUUUAAUAUUAGAGAAAUGUAUUAAUUCUUUUAAGGUUUAUUUAUUUUUAUUUAUAUUUAUUUUAUGUAUAUAAGUAUGCUGUCUUCAUAUACACCCAAAAAUGCGCAUUGGAUCCCACUACAGAUGGUAGUGAGCCACCACAUGGUUGCUAGGAGUUCAACUCAGGACUUCUGGAAAAGUAACUGACCCAUCUCUCCAGCCCAGACAUUAAUUCUUAAUCAGCAAAUAAAUAUAAUAUAUAUUAUUCUCUAAAAUAUAAGAAUAUCCCUAGAUUUUAGUAAUUCUUGGAGAAUUUUGUAAACUGUAUUUUGAUCAUAUUUACCCCAUCUCUACUCCUCUAUUCCUCUUCCCCACCCACUCAACCUUGUGUUCUCACUGCUUAGAAUACAUCUAGUAGAUGCAAAUCUGGCAAAUUUAGUUUGCAUUACUCAUAAACUCUUGGGGGUGUGGCCCUCACUGAAGCAUUGUUGAUGUGGAAUUUUUAGUUCGUGUAAGUCACAUAUAAUGAAUAGUCAAGGGAUAAGUAUUCUUAUUGUCUCUGUAACCUUUUCGGCAGGGAAAUUCCUUUAAUUAUUCCUGUGGCUAUGAUAGAAAGGUUUUCUAUUAUACAAAACAGAAUUUGAUACAAGGGCAAAUAACAGGAAGAUGCUGUGCAGGCUUAAACUACAGUCCAGCCUCGGCGUGAAGCUGGAUCCUUUAGAUCCAGCUCUGAUGCAAGUCUUCCUCCUUGGAACAGUUCUCUUUUUAAUACUUAGAGUGUGGAUGCUACCCCUUUUUGUCUUUUUAUAUCUAACAGUCUCAUACCAUCAAUUUUGAGUUCAUCCUAAUAAAACAAGACUAAACUUGAAGUUAACGCAAUUGGGUUUAAGAAAUCAAGUACUUUUUGGUUUCUAUGUUUGCUGGUCUUAGGAGGUGAAGGAAUGUCUGUGACUAAUCAAAACUUUCUUAUAUUUAGCAGUGACAUCAUUAUAUUGCAAACCGAAGACAUGUUUAUUCACUUAAGGAAUACUUCGGGGAGUUGAUAACCUUAUGCUGUACAUUGAAACAUGUGAAAUCCCACAUGGAGCACUGGGUUGAAAAUAGUUAUGUACUCAGUGCAUCUUAAGUGAAAGAUACCGUAUUCCACCAUUGAAAGUUUUAUGAGGCCAUUAAAAUAUAAAGUAUUGUUUUAUUUUUAGACCAGAAUGCCUACAUUUUAUGUUAGAUAAAAGGAAAAAGAAGAGAAGCUAUAGAAAAAAUAUUUCCUCAGAAGAUGAUGCAAAUUCCAAAGAUUGUUUAUGUUAAAAAAUUGUGUUUCAGUCAUUUCUACUCACAUGAAAUUCUGUACUAAUAUAUGCUCUUAUUUAAUGAGGGGUAGGAAAAUGUGUUCACUCAUCAACUGUGUGUGGCCUUAUCAGUGUAUGCAGUGUCAUUCCAGAGAAUGUCUGUAACCCAUUGCUGUGAAGCUAUGAGCCGUGAGCUUCACAUAGUCUUAAAAGUUGAGGACACUUACUGUCUCUUAAAUAAGAGUCAUAACUCUUUGAGGAAAAAACUUGCCAGUAAAAUAACCCAGUUGCUGCGGACACAUUGGUAUUUGGCAGACAGGUUUCAACUCCCCACAGCUCUGUCCACCACCACCCUCCUCUUGACACUGAUGCUACCGGAAUUGGAUCAGUUGCUCUCAAGUUCUAAUAAUCCAUCAUUGGGAGAUUGCAACACUUAUUCUGUAUUCAUUCCACUGUAGCAUAAAUGAAGCCAAGGGAUGAUAAGAGCCGUGAAUCCCUACCAGAUUCUCUUGAAGCAUGCAGUUAGUAAAAUUCUGAAUGAUCAUGGUGCUGAAUCUAAUCUUACUUAUGUUGGGGCUGCUUGCUUUGAAGGAGGCUGUCAUGCACUGUGAUGAUAUAUUUAAAAGAAAUGGUUUGUUCUGAAUUUUGAGACAUAUUUUCAAUUUAAAAGAUAGUAGUCUCCCAGCCUGCAUGGGUUUUACAUGUAUGAAAACCAUUUGAUCCAAGAUGGGCAGAGUUUUGGAACGAAAAUCACAGUGUGACUGCCAGAGGAUAUCAAGUGGGAACUCACAGGAGGCCAUGAAGCCAGUGCUUACUACAAAAGAUGACCAGCUCCCUUCAGCAGCAAGGAGCCGAGAUCCUAAGGGGCCUGGCAGCCCUGUAACACUUUCACUCCCUGUGUUAGUUGUUUGCUGUCAGAGAGUCUCACACACAGAGAGAUCACCUGCACUUCUAAAUGAAAAUUUCCAAGGCCUACAGUCACAAAUCUAUAGGUAAAGACAUACUGUGUCUUUAAGAAUUCUAGCAAACAUGGGAUUCAGACAGAAGGAAGGUUUAUUGUGUAUCCCUUCUUCCACAUUCUUAGGAAUUUUUCUAAUAUCUUUUUCUAUAGACAAUUUAGGAAUAUAAUCUGAAAAUCCAACUAUAUGGCAAUUGUUUCAAAAAUAAUACAAACAUUGUUUGCACCUGAUUAAUUUCAUUCCCUCCAUUUUCUGUGUCUUUUUCCCUCUUUCCCUCCUUUAAGUAUUCUAGGAUAUUCAAGAUUAUACUAAUAUAAUGAGGCUUCUUCAGGAUGCCAAUAGAGUUCUUUUCAUUAAAACAAUAACUUACCACCUCCCACUGUGUGUAUAUGAGUAUGUGUGUGUGUGUGUGUGUGUGUUGUGUUAUGUUGUAUAUGGUAUACCAUGCCAUACUUGUGGUGGUUAGAGGACACUUUUCUGGAGUCAGUCCUCUCAUUCCACAUUUUCUUGAGUUUCAAGGGUCUAACUCACAUGUCUAUUCUUGUAAGGCAAGGGCUUUACAGGAUGAACCAUCGUGUAGUUAAGAACUCCUGAUAGGGUUCUUAAUGAGGAAACAGUCUCUGACUCAUUUGGUCACUGAAAUAUUCUUGAACAAUGUAUUGACUAUGUUGAAUGGGGCCUUACCUCUGGUGUACACAAAUCCACAGACAUAAAAAUACUUCCUAAAUUUUAACCCUGUAUUCCACAGAACAGGUAAAGAAAACUUGUAUAGCUGAAGUUAAAACUCCAAUACUCUAACUUAAUAGAUGAUUUUAGGAGGGAGUUCAUAAGUGGUCAAGAUUUCAAGGCUCAUGAAAUUUUUACAAGAGGAAAAGUGUACUGUUGGAAGUUGGACCAGAAGCCAUUGGUAAUAUAUUCUGGUGAAGUUUUGGCUGUUCUACUUUUGUUGUAGAAACUUGAAUGCAGGUGAAGUAAAAUGCAAUGGAAUAAAUUCUGUUUGGGGACAGUAUAACAUCUGAGCCUGGCACAAUUAUUACUUUCUGCUCUUGGUCAGAUUUAUAAAAAUAAGAACAAAGGGUUUGAAAUGUGUAGCUUGAAGAGGAAAGUAGCUUGAAAACAAUGUUGUGAGCAGGGCAGGUAAAGACAAGCAAAUUAUAAUUAUUGAACAUACUAACUUGAUUAAGAAACCUUACACUUAGCACUGAGAUGUAUUUAAGGAGGAUGUAUUUAAUGGAGAGCACUUUAAAGCUCUAGCUCAAAACAUGUUAAUGUAUCUGUAAAGAAAGAACCUGACUCAAACUGAUACUGAAGGAGGUCCCUGCUCAAAGACAACUACCUACGGCUGAUAGGCACACACAGCGAAGGCACACAGAGAGAAGCAUCAUAUCCGUGGUAGCCAGGGGCUAUACUUCAUCUGGAGUUUCCUGCUUAUGCUGCCAUCCUCCAUGCUGUACUGGUUUUCCAGCAUCUUUGCAGGCAGGCAAAAUAAGAGAUCGAUGUCAGGUCAUGGAAGAGCCACGGUUCCAGACAACAGUUGAGGAAAGGCAAUAUGCUAAAGGAUUAGAGUGCCUGCAUGGACCUUCUGAGUACUCUGUUGGGUUGGGGAUUUAGCUCAGUGGUAGAGCGCUUGCCUAGGAAGCGCAAGGCCCUGGGUUCGGUCCCCAGCUCCGAAGAAAAAACAAACAAACAAACAAAAACUGAGUACUCUGUUUAUGCUAUCUGCGCACAGGAAGCCUAACUUGUAUAGAAAGUCAAGUGUAUUGUAGAUGCUGGGAACAUGGGGUACUUGUCAGGAGUAGAUGAAGACUUGGAGUUGAGACAGUGGCUAUAUACCCCAGAGGCAACACAGCUUCAUGAGUAGAGCUACCUAAGCCUGGCGAAACUCAGUAGCUGCCCCAGGUACUGGUCAGGAACCUGCUUUGCUUGGCCUCAUCUUAACUUUCUAUGUACUCGUUAUUCCUGUUUACAUACCAUGCCAUUGCAUUUUCUACAUGUGUAACCUGAGUUUUAAUAUUUACAGGGGAAUAUAGUUAAGACAUUGACUUAAGGGCUGGAGAGAUGGCUCAGCGGUUAAGAGCACCAACUGCUCUUCCCGAGGUCCUGAGUUCAAUUCCCAGCAACCACAUGGUGGCUCACAACCAUCUGUAAUGGGGUUGGGUGUGUCUGAAGACAGCUACAGUGUGCUUAUAUACAUUAAGUAAAGACAUUGACUUAAGUCUUAUAAGAGACAAUGAGCUUUAGAGCCACAUAGAGCAUUAAGACUUCAGAAUGCAUUAAGAUGGGCUAGAUGGAUUAUGUCCCAUGAGAUUACCAUGUGUCUUCGUGUUCCAACACUGACUAUUUUGACUUCAGAGUGAUGUGAUCGGGUGUCAAGAUGACAAGAGGUGUACUUGACGUAGUUAUAUUUCAUUGCCAGUGUGACAGGAUAUGGUGAAGGCCUUUCCAGGAAGGUUCACCUUAACAUGGUGGUAUUGUCUUGUUUGAUGAGGGUCCAUACUGAAUCGGGAGUCUGGAGUAGGAAGAACUCUGAUGAGUGCCAGAGGUCCCUUCCUCUGUUUUCAGAUUCACUUUGUGUGAAUGAGCAGUUUCGCUUUUCUCUUCUCAAAGCUAUGAGCCAUUUCCUUUAGCAUGUUUUUCCGCCCAUGGUGGAACCUUAAGGAACAAGCCACAAUGGACAAUACAUCUUAAGUCUCUUCUCAUCCUUCCUAAGGUUUCAGUGAUGAGUGAGCUUCCCACGCACACACUCUCACACCACAGGAAUUUAGUACAAACUUUAAUAAGAGUUAAUACCCUACAAUUAGUGCUGUGUAGUACUACGUAAGGAUUCCAACUCAGGACACUUUCAUCAUAUACAGACAUACAUGAUGCAUAUACGUGUGUAUAUACUAAUGCUUUCAAAGAUAAAGGGACAUUAGCAUUUAUUUCUACUGAUCUGUGUUCAGAAAAUAUUUAUUAAAUUGAAAAAAACAAACUUUUCAGUGCUAAUCAGUACUAGUUUGAGACUAGGAGUUGGCAAAAAGUGCAAAUGUUUCGUGCCCUCUGCAGGACAGAUGACACCUCACCAAUUUGGUUUGACUAUCAGAAAGCUUCAUUUCCUCACUGUCUAACAUGACCAGAUUUUACCAGUGUGGAGAAAGCUAAGCUCAAAUGCUGGCCUGACAUGUUGCAAGCAUCAACGAUAACUCAGAAGUAAAGAGUGUAAGUGAAUAUGCUGGAUAUUUGUUUGAUUGUUCAAGUUUAAAAUGAAAGUGUUCUACAAAAAAGUUAGUUGAUCCCUUUUUUGUAAUUUUAUUUCUUUUCUUGCGUGUCUAUGUAUGCAUGCGUGUACACAUGUCUUCACUUGUGUAACAUAUGCUUGUGUGAAGGUGGAGGCCUGAGAUUUGAUGUUGGAAAAUGUCAACUGUUCUUCCAUCCUUUCAUCUUUUUUCUUCCUUUCCUUUUUUGGGGGGGUGGGGGAGGUAGGGUCUCAUAUCAAACCUAGAUCUCAUAGAUGUGGCGAGUUUCCAAUUGUUCAGGGGAUCACCUGGCUCUUUCUUUUGAGGCUGUAAAUAAAGAGACCCACAACACUCACUCAGCUUUUCCGAACGUUCUGGGAACCCAAGCUCCUCUUGUAUGCUUAGGGAGUUCUUUAUUCCCCGGCCAUAGUUAAUUACUUUGUAAGGUCAACCUGAGGUGUUUUGCUUCUCAUCGGGUAGUAAUUAUUAUUUGAUGAACAAAUCCCUGUAAAUGUUGCCAGAAACUUUGCAAACUGUGACUCACUUGCUUUGUGCACAGAAACAACUGGGCACUAGAGCAGAGCGUAGUUGACACUCCUAGCUUGUCAUUAUUCUUACUGUUUACUUCUGUCGUUUCCUGAGGUGCUAAUGUGCCUGCAAAAUUCCUUGUUUCUCAGCUUCUCUUAGGAUAAUGUAUCACAAUAAGGGCAUUUCUACCUCUGUAGAACUCAUUGGUGAAGCUGGGAAGAGCGUAAAGGGAGCAGAUGGAGGCACACGUUCCUAUUCUGUCUGACCUUCCUUUAUGCAUUUCCCCCGUCUGGCUUGGGUAUACGAUAUCUAGCAUGCCUCCAUGCCUCCACCGUCAGAUCUGGAUGAAGAAAGCUGUGAAUGGCAUUGGGUGGCAUCUGGAAUAGGCAUUCGUUCCAGACUUCUUGGAGUUGUUGCAUCAUCUCUGGAUGGCUUAGAUUUUGGUUUCCCAUUAUAUAAAACCCUGUGUGCUGACAGCAGUGUUAUUUGAUUUUUCUGAGAGAGAGAGAGAGAGAGAGAGAAUCUGUGUGCCUUUGUACAUGGGUGUAUGUCUCUCUGUGUGUGUCUGUGUGUCUCUGUAUGUGAGUGUUGUAUGUGUGUAUGUGUGUGCAUUUGUUUGUGUGUCUGCCUGUCUUGGUUUAUGUCUCUGUGCAUGUCUGUCUUUGUCUAUCUGUCUGUCUGUCUGUCUGUCUGUCUGUCUGUCUCUGUGUGUGUGUGUGUGUCCUCUAUGAAUGUGUGCAAUUUAAGACAUUUUCAACCGUUACAAUUUAAAGAAGACCGUGAAGAUCCUGAUAUCCCCCCUCUUCACAGCAGUCUCUGUAGCAUGAUGUAAUCAGCAUUUUUCAGAGCAGAGAGGAAAGGCUUCAAGUUAGCACGGAGCCAUCUGAUAUAAUUAGGCUGCCUCAUUUGUAGAGAGAAAGCAUGUGACUUCAAUAUAAGUGGAAUGAACUUCAUAGAUCUAUGUUUGUCUGGAGAGGAUUGUAUCUCCUGGCAAAUGCUUGAUACUUGCCAUGUAGGUGUAUCCUUCAUAUUUGUAGGGAUCAUUGUACAUUUUAAAAAUCUUCCUUUAAUGGCAAACUUCCUAUGUUAUUAAAUGGUUUUAUCAACCAUUCAAUGUCUUAAAAUAUAUUGCCAUAAGCAGUAAAAGUUCUAAGGUUAUCCUUAUCUGGAUUUAACUUAACAUUACUGGUUGUGCUGUCUGUACAGCACAUUUAAUUAGGUUUGGGAUAUAUUGGCAGUUUAGUUAGUUAAUCAAAAAUUAUUAGAUUGAGAUUUUAUAGAGACGGGGCUAGCUUUCUCUACCACAGAUGGGUGUUUACAUUAUAUAUUACAUAUAUUACAUUAUGCCUAAUAUGCACCCUUGAGAUACUAAAUAGUGGAGCUCUAAUUAACAGGAAACACGCAGUAGCUUCAUGCUGCCCAUUCACACAUGUUUUGUAUUCCUCAUGUUCAUCUUGUAAAUACUUCUACUCAUACAGUUUGUAAGUGACCGCAGACCUAGAAUGCUGUAAUCUACAUCUGUACACCAGGCUUCCUCCACUGGUUUCUGUGGAGUUAUUCUCAUCCAUGUCUAGCACUGUUACAACCUUCUGCUUUUGGUAAUAUAUAAGGAUCAAAUGACAGCCUGAGACCAUCAGAGGAAAAGUGGUCUGUCAUCUUGGACUCUCACACAUCCCGCUUGGAUGCAGUUACAUAGUAGGAAGUCUGUGAUGUUGGUGAAGAUGUUUUGGUUCGUGUCUGAAGUGAGACAAGAAAGGGUGGGUGACAAAUACUUCCUCAUUGAGGAUUUCUGUAUUGAUAAUUCCUUCCAUUCCCAGUGUUAAUCACUGUGACAUUUAACAGGAUUUAGCCAGGAGGUUUAGAUUUGGAAAAGCAGCCUCUCAUCCACUUUAGGCUACUGAUGGCUGGUGUAUUUUCCCUGUCUUCUGGUGAAACUGCGGUGUUACACUCUGGUACUCUAGAAAUAGCAGGAGCGUAAUGUGGACUGCAGUUUGUCAGGUGAAUAGCAAGCAGCUCAGCGUGUAUUGUACAAAUUCAAUCAGAUAAUUUCACUAACACAGAGCAAGUAAUUUUUAUUUUAUUUUUUAAAUUAGCCUGCAAAGUAUUAGGUAUCUUGACAUUUUCAAAUAUUAAUUUCCAAAUAAUCACUCCUCUCUCCAUCCUUCCUCUUGCCUCCCACUCGAAUCCCAGUUUCAUGGUUUUUUUUUUCCUUUUCUUGUCUAUCUGGUGUCCUUUUGUACCCCUCCGCCUUCGCAAUACUUGUUACCCUCGCUUGAUUCUUUUCUAGUUCUUUGAACCUUUACCAGUGAUUAUAGCAUUUCCAUAUGUGCAUAUAAACAUAUCUGUAUCUGUAUCUGUCUAUGUAUAAGGAUUAUACACUAUGGUUCAUAUGUGAGAGAGAACAUGUAGUUUAAACUGGAACUUUGUAUGCUGAUAAAGUACUGUUCUAUAACUUGUCAUCCUUAGCGGCCUACCAGGGUUUCAAGUUGUUUCACAGACAUAGUCUCCCAGGUGGACAUGCUGGUUGCAGGCAUGCAGGUGAGCUGAUUACUUCUCGUCAUGCUGUCUUCUAAGUGUGUGUUCGGAGUAGUGUAGCAGGUAGGCCUAACAGCUUCAAAGCCAUCCCAAAUGGGGCUAAUCUAUAAAUGUCAAUCAAAUAGCCUUUAUGGUAACACAGACAGAACUGGGUAGAUACCAGUUGUAGUGUAAUUGAGCUUGUCACUAAAGACUGGCCUGACUUUUGUCAUGAACUCAUUCUGACUUAGUGUUAAUUUCUUACCUGCAAAGAGACAAGAACAAUUUGCCUCUAAAGAGGUGAUAUUUAUGAGCAUAGUAUUUAUGAAUGGCAGAACACUCUGGGCUCUUCAAAGCCAUUUAAGUAAUAAAUAAUAGCAUUUUGUGUGUUUCGAAGGAGCUUGCUAAUAUACGUUAGAAUACAGCUCGUAAUGGAAGUCUGAUGAAUAGAUAGGUCUCAACAGUUGGAACUGCACCCCAGUGGAAAUUGCUAAAAUGAAAAAUUACUGUCUGGCAGGCUUAUCAUUGUGCCACAGAGCCUGCUAUCUGUGGUGGUUUAUUUUGCACUUCCUAUCAUAUGUAGGAAAGGAUGCUGAUGCCCCGUGAAAUGCCAUCUGGAUCCACAUAUUGGAUGUGAGACAUGAUGUUACCAUUUUUUUAAGAGGCAGCUUUGCACCUACCAGACUAGCGAGAGGGAAUGCAGUAGUUGGGGAUGGCAUGGAGAAGUUUGCAAAGGAGACACUCAGAUGAAUGAAGUCGACUCUAUAGUCCCCAAAUGGUACUACCCAAUUCAUCCCUGCUUAUGGCACACCUCCAAAAAGAAACAAUCACGUUGUAUCUUAUUUUCCAAUGAUAGGGUAAGGUUGUUAAGAAAGGAAUGGUGGGCUAAGAAAGAGGAGGAUCAGAUUAUGUCCCACACCUGGUCCACAAUGACCAUGUGAUUGAGAUCAGCUCCUAUGUAAAAUCUGUGGCUCCCUUUUUAAUCAUCUACUAACGUGGAUACGAUGUGGUUGGGAAGGCAGGGCAGCCUUGCAUUGUAGUCUGGUUGUCAGUUUUACUGUCUUAAAACGUGACCUAUUGCAUAUUAAAGGUAGACCCGUCAUGAAGCUUCACAAACACAUGGUCCCAGGAACAUAGCAUAAGAGGAUAAUGGAUCAGAGGAUGCACAGCUGGACAGUGAGCUCCGGCGUUACAGCUGCUUUGGGCUAGCUGAUUAUCUCCCUAACGGCAAAGUACUUGGGAAAACUCAAGUGUAAUUACAAGCUGGCAUAGCUUUUAUGGAAAGCUUAAGAAGUUGAAUGCUGUCAGUCUUACACAUGUGAACCUGUCCAGAUAAAAUUCCUGUCAUUAGAAACAAAGGGAACGCAUCCACAGCCUUCCUUUGGACUGUGUUUCUGAAAGUGUUCCGUUUCUGAAACUUGUGCAUGCUUCUGCUCCUGACUCUUCUUCCGGUCUGUUCUCAUUGGUUGUCAGCUUUGCAUGUCUGGCAGCCAUUUUUAGCUCUUUGAAAGGAUUUCCCUUAUCUUUCUCUCUGAUCUAUACACAGUGAUAUUAUAAUUUAAUUUUCAGAAGAAAAAUUUUUUAUCUCUUUCGUUUCUAAGUCACUGGCAAAACUUUUCAAUAAUCCCUUCUCUUGCCCUCACUGCAUGUAGUAGGUUAAUUUCAAUAUCUACAGGGCUCACAUUCAGGGCAAGUCCUACCGAAUUUAUUUAUAUUGGGACUUAAUGUUUUAGAGGCAAUUAUACUUCUCGUUUCAGUCUCAUCUAGAGGGAUAAAUUACUUAAUUCCUUUGAAAGCCGCAGAGGUGAAAUGCCAUCUUUUAAAAGUGUGUGUUAGCACUGACGUGUGUGAAUAUGUGUGUGUGUGUGUGUGUGUGUGUGUAUGUGUGUUCUAAGUUCACAUGUACUGUGUUGCUCUGCACUCCCGUUGUUAGUCUUUGCCAUGAGCACAUUUCCCAUCUUACCACCUCCCUGGCAUAGGGUCUUUCUAAUACACUGAGGCAACAACAUACAUAGACACAGCACUAGAGGAUUGACUCUAGAUAAGGCGUUCCUGACAACAUAGAAAACUGGGCAAAUUUUCCCUUCCUCGAGACACUUUCAGAGUGGAAAGCUGGUGUCCGGGUGUGAGGGAAACCUGUCUGUGUCUUUAAACUUCACUGUGAAUACACUCAGACUUGUGACUCAGUCCAGCAGUUAGGUAAUGUUUUAUUAGAGUAGUUAGGGACAGCAAGAGUUUGGAAAGCAGUUAAUGACAUUUCACAAUCAUUCCUAGCCCCGCUACGCUGACUGAGCACUACCUGACGUUCAGGCAUCUGCUGACCAGAUUUGCUGGCUUCCCUGUGGUUCAUGGAGGCCUGUUCCGUUUACCACAUUUCCCUCUAGCUACAUGGAUAGCAUCCAUCCUCCAUCUACUGCCCUUAACUUGUUUAUGAGGCAUAACUUUCCAUUUCCCUCUAGCUUUAAGCAUCAGGUUUUGAGGGCUGGCUCCUGCUGAUUGAAUACAAAAAGGAUCAUAGAGGCCUGGCAGUCGUUCUGCUCCUAGCUAGAAAAACGUCAGCAACCAUAGCAAAGAGAGGAAUUAUGAGUGAAGCCAAGGUAUCUCACACAGCACCUCUAGGUGGGAGUCUCUUGCUGUAGGAAAUGAUCUUCAGAUUAUUGUUCAUUUGUAAAAGAAAGAAGAUUUGAUGUUGUGGGGUGGGAGAGAUGGUUUUCUGUCUGCAAAAAUAGACUAAUGGAUGAACAAACCAAGAUAUAAACACAACGCAAUAUGACUGUUAGAAUCAAGCUUAGUCUUGUGAUGGGAACAUGGCAUUUGGAAUGACAGUCUCAGUCAAAAGUGCCAUUCCCAUUAAAAUGUGUGCUGCUUGGCUUUGCUUUGACCACUGUGAAAACACCCCUUUGAAAUGUAGGUAACUCGGCUCUUUGCCUUGUGUGACUUCAAGGACAUUCAGAUGACUCUAAACUAACUUCUGAUUGAAAGCUCUCACUGCUCAUCUUUCCAGUGUUGUUCCUUGCUUAGUAGUCCUUGGCACACUCACUCCCUGCCACUUCUCAGAGAUUUCAUACACCAGCACUCAGUCUGCUUGGGAUUCUGUCUCUGUCUUCACUCCUAUCUGCUUCUCUCACCAGUUCUCCCCACAACACCUACAAUUUCUUCCCUGUGUUCUAUUUUUCAUAUGCCUGCCAUCAUUUGUAUUAACCUACAGACUCAUAGUUUUAUUUAAUAUUCCAUUUGAUAACAGGGUUUAUAAGUCGAGAGAUCACAUGUUUUAUAUCAUAAGUCUAUCACUUAGCAUCUUUUUUUUAAAUUUGGUAUUAGUAAGCACCAAUAUAAGUUACUCAUGAAUAUACAGUGAAGACUGACCUAUGAUUCAGUUUCAGUGGACCCUUUUCGCUGUGCAAUUGCAAUGAUUGGCAUUUGGGAUGUUUGCAUAUUAAGCAAAUCAAAGUGUUUAACUCAUGCUGAGUCAGGUUGCAGCUCUUUCUAAACAUGCUGCAAAGGAUUAUCAAUGUAUUUUCUUUAGAUGCUUAAUAUUCACAUAUGUCAUAUAUUUUCUAGACAUAGUUCUUGUGUAUUAGUCAAUCUUGAUGUUUUAAUUAACAGAACAUAUUAGUCUAUCUCAUUUUCCAUUGAGGUCCCUUUCUAAAUGACUGCAUUUUAUAAAUUACUCAAAUUUUGGUUUGUCCUUAAUUAUAUUAACAUAUAAACUGAUUGUUAACAUGGGCAGUGAGACCAUUGCACAUGGUGCUGUAGGGGAAGUUGUUUCUUAGUUGACCUCCAUUAAUACCAGUUUUUUACUAAAACUUUACCUCUCUUCCUAAAAAGAACUGAAUAGCAUUUUCUAUGAGUCUUUGAUAGAAUCUACACAUAUGUGAUAUCGAUUCAAGUAAUAGUCAUAGCAUAGCAUCUUUUCUUUUCUCUCUUUUUUUGUUCCUUUGAGACAGGAUUUCUCUGUGUGACCCUUCAUGUCCUGGAGCUUACUCUGUAGACCAGGCUGGCCUUGGAAUCACAGAGAUCUGCCUGCCUCCACCUCUCAAGUUCUUGGAUUAAAGGUGUGUGGCACCAGCAUUUUCCUUAUUAUCAGUAUUAACAUAUGCCAUUAAAUAGAAAGGCAUAAAGUAUGUUGUGUGAAUUGGGAUAGCUUACUAGAUGGCAUAAAUUGUAUUUACUCUGUAAUCUUUUUCCUGAGCAAUGUAUUGCCAAUAUUUCCUUCUCAGGCUAACAUCAGGAAUUUUUCUCUGUCAAGAAUUUGGAAUGGGUAAGAUUUACUUCUCUAAGACUUCCUUGCCAGCUGCUUCUCUAGCGUGUCCCCAUACCCAAUUCUGUCAUUAAUUAAAGUAAAAGUUUUUUAAUAAUAUACUCAGGAGAGAAGCAAACAUACAUUAGCAAUUCUAACAUGUUUAUAUUUUGUUUACAAUCUUCAUAGCUUUAAUAUCUGUAUAAUAGUAAGUCUGAAAGCAAACCAGGCCCUACAUGGAUGGAUGCUUUGCUUUUCACACGCAAUUACUGACCAAAAUGCAAUGGUGCAUUCCAGCUGCAUGUUUUCAAAACUGUGUUGGUGGGAGUGAGUGGAAUUCCAAGUAUUGUGGGCCUUCAGAAGGCAGGGGUGUUUUCCCCUGUAGACUAAUGACAAUUCUUCUGUGGCAAGGAAAGCUGGUGGCUUCAGAAACUGCUGCUUUAUUUCCUGUUUUAGCAAUUUCCAUAUGGCUCCUGUGGUACCUACCAGUGGGGUUUGCCAGGCAGGCCAACUGCAUUGCCUGUGGCAUUUUGAAUAUCCUGCUGUGUUUGUAUCCCAACCAAGAACAAUUUCUAUUGUUAGCAAGCUCUGAGAGAAAUACCCACAAGGUAAAUACAGGCCAAAGAGAAGGCUGCUCUGGGAUUUCCCUGAGUCAGAGUUAAAAAUUGGUGGAAAGAAAUACUUGGCAGUGUGAGCUUUCACAGCACUGUGCUGGGAUAGUGGGGGCGGGUGGGGAGUGAGAUGUUAUGAUUGAGAACCUAGUGAGACGCAUGUGCUUGACAUGAAUCCUUUUGAAAAACCUGUUUUUCCUCAUUGUAGCAUAUUAAUUUUAAUGUUUUGUAUAUUUUAGUAUGCAACCUAUUACAGAAUAAAAAGUAUAACCCUUCAAAAUAUUACAGUCAGAGGGAUAAGUCUGUUCUGACCAUAUAACAAACAGUCAGUAAUGGGGUGCUUUUCUUUUCUGGCCCUCAUUCCCACUCACUGCAAAUUUAAAUAUGAUAAAUGCUUUCGCCUACAUUGUUCCUGAUACAUUUAGAGCAUAUUUCACAUACACAAGUGGAUUUACGUGAAAUGAAUAAUUGUCUUUAAAAGACGUGUAUAUGUAUUAUACACAUAUGUGUAUAUUUACAUAUAUGUGAUAUUAACAUACAUAUACAUACAUGGACAACAAGAUUUGAUAGUGGAAAAAAAUCUCCACACAAUAUCUAGGAUUAAAAAAUAAGUUAUGAGGUUGCCUUUCUAUCAAAACUUAACUAGGGUAUUCAGAGUUUGCUAUCUGGCAAGAAAAGCACUCCAGGAUGUCUACUGUGAAUGCUCAGGAUAGAAUUCCCAAACUAAUUGUGGCUUCUUUGACUCUAUCAUUCUCUCUAUACUGGGGUGCACAGAGAGAAACUUCUGGGGAUGCCUGCCUGACUGGAAACUGUCAAGAGCAGGGGACGUGGGAGUUAGUUUCAGUCACUGCUCUUGGUGUGGCAUUUUCACAUCUGACCUCCAGAACACCAGUAAGGAACCCCUAGUCUCUGUGAAGCUGAGAACCUGUACAAUGUUUUAGCACAUUUACAUGUGGAAUAAAUAAACCUGGUAUUGCAAAAAGGUAUGUCUCAUCGCAAUGAGUGAUGCAUACUUUCUAAGCUGAAGGAUUUGCUGUUCAACUGCCUACUGGGAAGCAUUUCUCUCUGCUCUCAGGUAUGUAAGAGCCAUAGAAAGUUAUAUGUCUUGUUUCCAGCCUUCUUUUUUUUUUUAACUUUGUCCUGGCUUGUGUAAUCUUUAAAAAUAUUUAUUUAUUUAUUUUAUUAAACUUUUAAUUUAUUCUUCUCUCAUACAUUAUAUCCCUACAUCGGUUCCCCCUCCUUCCCUCCUCCCAGCCCCUCCCUCUCUACCUUCUUUCUCCUGCACAUCUACCUCUCCUCCUUUCCCUUCAUAAAAGAGCAGGCCUUCCAAGAAUAUCAACUAGACAUGACAUAUCAAGUUGCAAUAGGACUAGGUUCAUUCCCUCAUAUCAAGGCUGGAUGAGGCAACCCAGUAGAAGGAGAAGGAUCCCCAAAGCAGGCAAAAGAGUCAGAGACAGCAACCACUCCUACUGUGAGCAGUCCUUCAAGAUCACCAAACUACACAACCAUAACAUAUAUGCAGAGGACCCAUUUCAGACCCAUUCAUGCAGCCUUAUAUUCUUAGUUUUAAAUUUUUAUGUUGAAAUGGAGUAAGGAUUCAUACUUCCAAGGCAGCUUAAGGAUGAAAUGAGAAGGUAUUUAUUAAACAUUCAGAUAAAUGUGUGAUAAAGAUAUGGAAAUUUUUAUUAAGUUUGAAGUUACACCAGCAUACAUGAUUUUUCUGACUGUAGUCCUUCUUGCACUCUGGUUUGUUCAACUUUAAUAAUUAAUAGCUUUAUUUAAUUCAUGAGUAGAUAGGUAUUAUCAGUUAUGUAGGAUGACUGCAAGACUGGAAUUGUGAGAGCUCUGGGGCCCUUGAGAAAGGUGAUCGUGAUGGGCCUUCCCUAUGGGAUUCAGUAACAGCAUUGGCAUUGCUUUUACUAAAAAGAAUCAUAAUCCCGUGACCCUUACAGAGCUCACUUUGUAUAGCAAGAUAACUGUGAACUGAAACCAGUUCCUCAUUAAACUCAGUACACAGCCUGGGACUUGGGUCUGGUAUUUGCCUCUCAUUGUUAACAUCAAAGUUUUUUCUUCUGGAGAAGUGGCCUUUUUGCAUCUUUUUGAAUAAGAAGUGAAUUUCAGGUUUCUUUUCUUGACUGUAGUUUAUAAAAUUAGUGCAUUUGGCAUAGUGGAUAGGAAUAGAAGCAAUGAGUAUCAUUUUUAUAUUCUGUUCUGAAACAAUAAAAGUGACAUUAUCUGGCCUUUACAUUUUACACAGCCCAAGUUCUGGAUGAAAUGGCUGUGUUGGAGUGGUCAUCAGGGAGUCUCUGCAUGGAUGUCUCUGCAAUAAACUUUUUUUAAAUUAUUUUUUCCAUCUUUAUUAAAUUGGGUAUUUCUUAUUUACAUUUCAAAUGUUAUUCCCUUUCCCAGUUUCCAGGCCAACAUCCCCCAGCCCCUCCACCUCCCCUUCUAUAUGGGUGUUCCCCUCCCCAUUACCGCCCUCCCCUAAAGAAUCCCUAUCACUGGGGGUCCAGCCUUGGCAGGACCAAAGGCUCCCCCUUCCACUGGUGCCCUUACUAGGCUAUUCAUUGCUACCUAUGAGGUUGGAGCCCAGGGUCAGUCCAUGUAUAGUCUUUGGGUAGUGGCUUAGUCCCUGGAAGCUCUGGUUGGUUGGCAUUGUUCUUCAUAUUGGGUCUCAAGCCCUUCAAGCUCUUUCAGUCCUUUCUCUGAUUCCUUCAACGGGGGUCCCAUUCUUACUUCAGUGGUUUGCUGCUGCCAUUCACCUAUGUAUUUGCCAUAUUCUGGCUGUGUCUCUCAGGAGAGAUCUGUAUCUGGUUCCUGUCAGCCUGCAUUUCUUGCUUUAUCCAUCUUAUCUACUUUGGUGACUGUAUAUGUAUGGGCCAAAUGUGGGGCAGGCUCUGAAUGGGUGUUCUUUAAGCCUCUGUUCUAAACUUUGCCUCCCUAUCCCCUCCUAAUGGUAUUCUUGUUCCCCUUAAAAGAAGGAGUGAAGCAUCUGCAUUUUGGUCAUCUUUCUUGAGUUUCAUGUGGUCAGUGUAUCUAGGGUAAUUCAAGCGUUUGGGCUAAUAUCCAGUUAUCAGUGAGUGCAUACCAUGUGUGUUUUUCUGUGAAUGGGUUACCUUACUCAGGAUGAUAUUUUCAAGUUCCAUCCAUUUGCCUAUGAAUUUCAUAAAGUCAUUGUUUUUGAUAGCUGAGUAGUACUCCAUUGUGUAGAUGUACCAUAUUUUCUGUAUCCAUUCCUCUGUUGAAGGGCGUCUGGGUUCUUUCCAGCAUCUGGCUUUAUUAAAUAAGGCUGCUAUGAACAUAGUGGAGCAUGUGUCUUUGUUAUAUGUUGGGGCAUCUUUUGGGUAUAUGCCCAAGAGAGGUAUAGCUGGGUCCUCAGGUAGUGCAAUGUCUAAUUUUCUGAGGAACCUCCAGACUGAUUUCCAGAAUGGUUGUACCAGUCUGCAAUCCUACCAACAAUGGAGGAGUGUUCCUCUUUCUCCACAUCCUCACCAGCAUCUGCUGUCACCUGAGUUUUGACCUUAGCCAUUCUGACUGUUGUGAGGAGGAAUCUCAGGGUUGUUUUGAUUUGCAUUUCCCUUAUGACUAAAGAUGUUGAACAUUUCUUUAGGUGUUUCUCAGUCAUCAGCAUUCCUCAGCUCUGAAUUCUUUGUUUAGUUCUGAACCCCAUUUUUAAUAGGGUUAUUUGUCUCCCUGCAGUCUAACUUCUUGAGUUCAUUGUAUAUUUUGGAUAUAAGCCCUCUAUCUGUUGUAGGAUUGGUAAAGAUCUUUUCCCAAUCUGUUGGUUGCCAUUUUGUCCCAACAAUAGUGUGCAUUGCCUUACAGAAGCUUUGUAGUUUUAUGAGAUCCCAUUUGUCGAUUCUUGAUCUUAGAGCAUAAGCCAUUGGUAUUUUGUUCAGGAAAAUUUUUUCAGUGCCCAUGUAUUCAACAUUCUUCUCCACUUUUUCUUCUAUUAGUUUGAGUGUAUCUGGUUUGAUGUGGAGGUCCUUUAUCCACUUGGACUUAAGCUUUGUACAGGGUGAUAAGCAUGGAUCGAUCUGCAUUCUUCUAUAUGCUGACCUCCAGUUAAACCAGCAUCAUUUACUGAAAAUGCUAUCUUUUUUCCAUUGGAUGGUUUUGGCUCCUUUGUCAAAAAUCAAGUGACCAUAGGUGUGUGGGUUCAUUUCUGGGUCUUCUAUUCUAUUCCACUUGUCUAUCUGCCUGUCUCUGUACCAAUAACAUACAGUUUUUAUCACUAUUGCUCUGUAAUACUGUUUGAGUUCCAGUAGAGUAAUUCCUCCAGAAGUUCUUUUAUUGUUGGGGAUAGCUUUAGCUAUCCUGGGUUUUUUGUUAUUCCAGAUGAACUUGCCAAUUGUUCUGUCUAACUCUAUGAAGAAUUGGAUUCGAAUUUUGAUGGGGAUUGCAUUGAAUCUGUAGAUUGCCUUUGGUAAAAUGGCCAUUUUUUACUACAUUAAUCCUGCCAAUCCAUGAGCAUGGGAGAUCUUUCCAUCUUCUGAGAUCUUCUUCAAUUUCUUUCUACAAAGGCUUGAAGUUCUUAUCAUACAGAUCUUUCACUUUCACAGAUACUAAAGUCACACUGAAGUAUUUUAUAUUAUUUGGGACUAUUAUGAAGGGUGUCAUUUCACUAAUUUCUUUCUCAGCUUUUUUCUCUUUUGUAUAGAGGAAGAUUACUGAUUUAUUUGAGUUAAUUUUAUACCCAGCCACUUUGCUGAAGGUGUUUAUCAGGAUUAGUAGUUCUAUGGUGGAACUUUUGGUAUCACUUAAAUAUACAACCAUAUCAGCUGCAAAUAGUGAUAUUUUGACUUCUUCAUUUCUAAUCUGUAUCCCUUUUAUCUCCUUUUGUUGUAAGAUUGCUCUGCCUCGGACUUCGAGAACUAUAUUGAAUAAGUAGGGAGAGAGUUGACGGUCUUGUAUAGUCCCUGAUUUUAGUGGGAUUGCUUCAAGUUUCUCUCCAUUUAGUUUAAUAUUAGCUUCAGGUUUGCUGCAUAUGGCUUUUACUAUGUUUAGGUAUGGCCCUUGAAUUCCUGUUCUUUCCAGGACUUUUAUCAUGAAGGAGUGUUGAAUUUUGUCAAAUGCUUUCUCAGCAUCUAAUGAAAUGAUCAUGUGGUUUUUAUCUUUCAGUUUGUUUAUAUAGUGGAUUACGUUGAUGGUUGUCCGUAUAUUAAACAAUUUCUGCAUACCUGGGAUAAAGCCUACUUGAUCAUGAUGGAUGAUUGUUUUGAUGUGUUCUUGGAUUUGGUUUGCAAGAAUUUUAUUGAGUAUUAUUGUGUCGAUAUUCAUAAGGGAAAUUGGUCUGAAGUUCUCUUUCUUUGUUGGGUCUUUGUGUGGUUUAGGUAUAAGAGUAAUUGUGGCUUCAUAGAAUGAAUUCAGUAGCCCUCCAUCUGUUUCAAUUUUGUGCAAUAAUUUGGAUAGUAUUGGUAUGAGGUCUUCUAUGAAGAUCUGAUAGAAUUCUGCACUGAACCCGUCUGGACCUGGGCUCUUUUUGGUUGGGAGACUUAUAAUGACUGCUUCUAUUUCUUUAGGAGUUAUGGGGUUGUUUACAUGGUUUAUCUGUUCCUGAUUUAACUUCAGUACCUGGUAUCUGUCUAGGAAAUUGUAGAUUUUCUCCUGAUUUUCAAGUUUUGUUGAAUAUAGGCUUUUGUAGUUGUAUCUGAUGAUUUUUUUAAAAUUUCCUCUGAUUCUGUAGUUAUGUCUCACUUUUCCUUUCUGAUUUUCUUAAUUUGGACACACUCUCUGUGUCCUCUGGUUAGUCUGGGUAAGGGUUUCUCUAUCUUGUUGAUUUUCUCAAUGAACCACCUUUUGGUUCUGUUGAUUCUUUGUAUAGUCCUUUUGGUUUCUACUUGGUUGAUUUCAGCUCUGAGUUUGAUUAUUUCCUGCCUUCUACUCCUCCUGGGUGCAUUUGCUUCUUUUUGUUCUAGAGCUUUUAGGUGUGUUGUCAACCUGUUGAUAUAUGCUCUCUCCUGUUUCUGCAGGCACUCAAAUCUGUGAGUUUUCCUCUUAGCACAGCUUUCAUUGUGUCCCAUAAGUUUGGGUAUGUUGUACCUUCAUUUUCAUUAACUUCUAAGAAGUCUUUAUAUGUUACUUGACCUUCUUCCCUUACUGCUUUUAAUAUUCUUUUUAUAUUUUGUUCAUUUGGUGUUUUGACUUUUUUAUGAUGUGAGGAAUUUCUUUUCUGGUCCAAUCUAUUUGGAGUUCUGUAGGCUCCUUGUGUGUUUAUGAUCAUCUUUUUCUUUAUGGUAGGGAAGUUUUCUUCUAUGAUUUUGUUGAAGACAUUUACUGGUCGUUUGACAUGGGAGUCUUCACUCUCUUCUAUACCUACUAUCCUUAGGUUUGAUCUUCUCAUUGUGUCCUGGAUUUCCUGUAUGUUUUGGGGCAGUAGCUUUUUCCAUUUUCCAUUAUCUUUGACAGUUGUGUCGAUGAUUUCUAUGGAAUCUUCUGCUGCUGAGAUUCUCUCUUCUGUUUCUUGUAUUCUGUUAGUGAUGCUUGUAUCUAUGGCUCCUUGUCUCUUCCUUUGGUUUUCUAUAUCCAGGGUUGUCUCACUUUGUGCUUUCUUUAUUACUUUUAUUUCCAUUUUCAAUUGCUUCACCUGUUUGUGUUUUCCUGUAAUUCUUUCAGGGAUUUUUGUGUUUCCUCUCUAAGUGCUUCUAUUUGUUUACUUGUGGUUCCCUGCAUUUCUCUAAGGGAGUUCUUUAUGUCUUUCUUAAAGUCCUCCAUCAUCAUGAUCAAAUGUGAUUUUAAAUCUAGAUCUUGCUUUUUUGGUGUGUUUGGAUAUUCAGUGUUUGCUUUGGUGGGAGAAUUUGGCUCUGAUGAUGCCAUGAAGUCUUGGUUUCUCUUGCUUGGGUUCCCGUGCUUGUGUCUUUCCAUCAGGUUGUCUCUGGUGUUAACUUUUUCUGCUAUUUCUGACAGUGGGUUGACUGUCCUAUAGGCCUGUGUGUCAGGAAUGCUGUAGACCUAUUUUCCUGUUUUCUUUCAGCCAGUUAUGGGAACAGAGUUUUCUGUCUUCAGGUGUGUAGUCAUUCCUGUCCACUGGCUCUCAGCUGUGCCUGUGGGUGGGAAUCAGAAGGGCCUGCCCCUACUUCUCCUAGGUCCCUCUGUGCAGGAAGUCCAGAUGGUGCUAGGCAUUUUCCUCUAGAGUCAGAAAUGUGGGCAUAAAGUAGUCUCCCCUUGUUUCCCAGGCAUGUCUGCCCCUCUGAAGGUCUAGCUCUCCCUCCCAUGGGAUUUGGGUGCAGGGAGCUGUUUAACUGGGUCUGUUCAGAUCUGGGUGCAGUCUGGACUGCGGAGCUCCUGCAGCUUGACUUCUCUGCAACAAUCUUAAAGAAGCAAAAAUUUCAGGCAAGCAGUAGCAGUGCUUGGUAUAGACUACUCAUUCGUGGACUACUAUCUAUUCAUUAUCACGUAGUUCUGUUGCUGUUCGUUUAGUGUAUUAAACCACAAGUAGUGAAUAGUCCCUACUGUUUCCCUAGCAGAACAUAGAAUUUGGAGGGUACAGAGUGAAUCUUGAGCUCCAAACAUGAAGGAAAAUUAGUAGGAUCAGGCCUCUUAGAAGAAAGAUUCAGUCAUUCAAAACAACAUUAAGUUAGCAUCUCCUGGGAAGGACUUUUGCUAGUGGGAGUGGAGUAUGGAAAGACUAUUUGGUGUGUUGUCUAAACACAUAAUCUAAGAGUAAAUAACAGUUUCAUAGCAAUAAGCUGAUUCGAACUUGUGUCAUGUAUAAUACCAGAAACAUGGAGUAAGGAAGAAGUGCCAAUUCUAUAAUGUGUUAAGUUGGUGUUUUGUUUUUUUCCUCUGUAUAUCCUAAUCAUAGGAUGAAACUUGGAGAGUAUUCCAGUGUCUUUUCACUCAAUUAAGAUUUUACAGGAUGGAGUGGUAAAAGACACCAGUGUGUUCUGUGACAUUAUCUCUAGCAAAGUUAAUAAUGCUUCUCUCACUGUUAACUUCAAUCUCUUAGGAACUUACCACAGUUCUCAAAUAAAACAUACUUUGCACUAACGAUGAAAUGGUGCUGAUGCUUUAAACUCUGAGAUACUUUGGAAAAGGGGAAAUGUCUAAGUUAUUUUGCUGGGCUCUUAAGAUUUUAGGUUAAGAAAACAUGCAUACAAGUAAAAUCCUUCUCUGAAAAAUAAAUUGUACUGAUUUUUCUGGUUUAAAACACUUGGUUGUAGCACUUUUUGAUCUUUUUUCUUUUUGUUUUUAUUUGCAAAAUAUUUAUCUAAUAUAAGUAUUGGAACAAAAUGAAUAUAAUUAGUUCAAUUUUAAACUGGUUAACAAUUUUUUAAUUAAAGAAGACAUUCAGACAUUAUAUAUACAUAUAUAUGUAUAUAUAUACAUGCACACAUUUGUAUAGAAAGAGACAUUAUAACUGCAUUCUCACUGUAACACAUGAGACUGAAAUGCAAAAAUGACAAUUCGAAUCCUACAAACAUGUUUCUAGUCAUUUGAUGUCUUUUCAGAUGACUUAGCAAAAACAAGAAACAAAUAUAAACAAUUUAUAACUAAGGAAAUUAAGUCGGAAGAGCAUGUUGCAAAACCUACAUGGAAACUCAGGUGUCUCUUCAGUAUUUUUUCUGCAAAUCUUUCUUUUUUCUUUUAUUGGAUUUUUUUAUUUACAUUUCAACUUUCCAGUUUCCCUGAACAUAAAUCCCCUUUCCCAUCCCCCUCCCUUUUUCUAUAAGGGUUUCCCCUGCCCAUCCACCCCCUCUUCUCGCCCCACCCCACAUUCCCCUAUACUGGGGUGGGGGGAAUCCAGUCUUGUCAGGAUCAAAGGCUUCUCUUCCUUUGGCACCCAAUAAGGCCAUCCUAAGCUACAUAAGCAGCUGGAGCCAUGGGUCAGUCCAUGGGUAGAGGUUUAGUCCCUGGGACCUCUGGUUAGCUGGCAUCCUUGUUCUUAUGAGGUUGCAAGAACCUUCAGGUCUUUCAAUCCUUUCUCUAAUUCCUCCAACAGGGAGCCUGUUCUCAGUUCAAUGGUUUGCUGCUAGCAUUCGCCUCUGUAUUUGACAUGCUCUGGCUGUGUCUCUCAGGGGACAUCUAUAUCCAGCUCUAUACAUCUAGAUUUGAAUUAACCUUUAAUUUAAAUUAACCUUUAAUUGUUCUUUUCUGGACCUUCUCUACUUAUUGUUAGUCCUGAUCAUGUUGCUCUUAAAAUGUUUUUAUUAGAAUUUCUCCCACGGGGUUCAGUUCCAUUCCUGAAAUUAUAGGUUAGUCACUAUAAAGCAAAGCAAGGCAAAGGACCUUGGCAAGCAGAUGCCAUCUUUAUUUAAAACAGACCCUGCUUGAGAGGUAGCAUUUUAACUGCACCGGAAACAUGUGCUACUCUUGCCGGCUGUAGGACAUCAAUAUUUCUUUGGGUUCCGGUGAUGUUUUAAUUUUUUCUCAUUGCACUUUACACUUGACAACUAAGAAUCGUAUUUUGUUGUUACACAUAUGUCAAAGGAAAACCAUAUGCCUACUAUAACCUGCUCUUCAGUACAGUGUCCAUCAGACACAUAGAAUUCUUAUAUAGUGAACUGUGCCACAUUGGGUUUUUCCUUUGGUUCUUAUAGCAUGAGGGGUCUUUUUGUCUUUAGAACAUGGAGACUUACAUACGUAUGAAUGUAUGGACACUUGGUUAUCUUACAACAAUGGUGUUAAAUUUUCUUGAAUGUGUGACUAUUAUACUAAACAUUUAAUACUAAUAUCAACAAUUAUGGUUUAUUCUUAUAUAAUUGAGAUUCUUUAAUGCUUAAACAGUCACAUUUUUCAUUAAAAUUUUUAGCAUAUCAUAAUUCUACUACCUUUAUUUUUAAAUUAAAUAUAUUUUUCCCAGGGUUUUUUACAUUCAAUGAUUUGUCAUGCUCGAUUUAAUACAUGUGUUAAUUCAACAGAACAUCUGUUUAUCUUUUAUUCUGGUGGAAGUCACCUGUCAUUAUUUUCAGAAUGACUAUAUAUGUAUAUAUUUGAAUAUUGACUACACAAUUAUAUUUAUUUAGAUUCAUACAUAUUUAAGUUGAAUUAUAUCACAAAAUUUUGGAACGGUAUAGAAGAUACACUAUAAUAAAAGUGGUGUGCACGACAAAAUGAUAUUUAGUAUUUGUAAAUAAUAACUGAGUACAGGGGAAAUAGUAUUAAUGUAGAGUUAUAUAAAGUGGUAUGAAAAAGAAGAGAGCCUUAUGAUUUGUUUCAGUGUAUUUAGUCAGCUAGUCUUGAGUUUUGCCAUGCUGUGUUCUCUGUUCAUGCUUAGUGGUUAAGCUUGAUUUUUUCUAUUGAUCUUUAUACUUCCAGUGCUAUGUCCAGUCAGGACUCUAAUAAAUUGUAUACAAAUUAGAGAUCUGCUAUUAUUUUGAUUCUCUUCAUCCCACUCUGUUUGUAAAAAUAUAAUAAUAAAAAGUAUUGGUGUCUUUUACCCGCUAAGUCUACACCUUGGUGCCCCAAGAUAUCUGCUAGAUAUUUUGGUGGAAACACAGCCCAGCCACACACUCUCCUACACUCAAACCCCCACAUAAAAGAACACACAACACAAUAAUCUUAGAUCCAAUUGGUAAGAUAUAAUUGCCCACUUAAACAUACAAAGCCCGGUACUAUCCAUCCCUUGAGAACAUUAAUAACAACCUGUAAAUACACAGAGCAGAAUCUUAACAUCACCUGCCAUGACUUCUCCCCUCUCUCCGUCUCCUCUUCUCCUCCUCUCUCCGUUAGUCGCCUCUCUUCCUUCAAACUUCUCUCCCGCCCAUCCUUCCUUCUCCUCCAAUGACAGGCCUCCUUCUAUCCUGUACCUGCCUCACCUGUGACAUCAUCCUACGCCAUUCUUUUCUAAUUCUUUCUGGAACAUGGCUGACAUAGCCACACAUUAACUGUAAGUUUCAUAUCAAUAUAACAGCAUAAUGAACCUUGAUACACAGGUAAUACUGAUGUAAUUUAAUAAAGUUUUCUUUACUGGUAUCCUUCAUAUUGGUAGUUUUAAAGUAGUAGGUAGGAAACUCUUGAAGGCGUUGUAAAGACCAGUGUCUUCGGAAGGUCACCCCCAGAAAUAAUUAUUGAUUAUUGCAGGAACACACACACACAAUGUAGUUAUAGCACGUCAGUACUGGUAAGUCAUGAAUGCACUUUUCAAAAUUAGGCCUUACUGAAAACUUGCCAGCGCAAAUGGCCAAGUUGGUACAAUUCGGUGUUAAGCACAUUUAUAUAUUUUUUAAUUUUACUUUUUUAUUAAUCAUUUUGUUCAUUUAUAUUUCAAAUGAUAUCCCCUUUCCAGUUUCCCCUCAACAAUCUCCCAUCCCAUUUCCCUCCCCUUUUGCCUCUAUGAGGUUGCUCCUCCACCCACUCCUCCACUGCCACCUCACCACUCUAACAUCCCCCUAUGCAGGGGCUUCAAGUUUCAACAGGACAAGGGCCUCCCCUCUCAUUAAGUCAGAUAAGGCCAUCCUCUACUACAUAUGCAUCUGGAGUCAUGGCUCCCUCCAUGUAUACUCUUUGGUUGUUUAUUUGGUCCCUGGGAGCUCUGAGUGGUUCAGUUGUUGAUUUUGUUCUUCCUAUGGGGAUGCAAUCCCCUUCUCCUACUUCAGUCUUUCCCCUAACUCUUCAGGUCCCCGAGCUCCGUCUGAUGGUUGGCUGUGAGUGUCUGCAUCUGUACUGGUCAGGUGCUGGCAGAACCUCUCAAAGGACAACCAUAUCAGGUUCCUGUCCACACAUGCUCCUAGGCAUCAACAAUAGAGACUGGGUUUGGUGUCUGCAGACAGGAUGGAUGCCUAGGUGGGGAGGUCUCUGGAUGGCCUUUCCUUCAGUCUGUGCUCCAUUUCUUUGUCCCUGCCUUUCCUUUAGACAGGAACAAUUCUGGAUUGAAAGUUUUGGGAUGGGGGUGUGGCCCCAUCUCUCAUAUUGGGGCUGCGCCUAUCUAGUGGAAGUGGUCUCUGCAGGUUAUAUCUCCCCUUUGUUGGGUAUUUCAGCUAAUGUCAUCCUUGUUAGUCCUGGGAGACUCUGGCUUCCCUCGCAUCUGGGACUAUUUAGUGGCUAUGCCCCGUUCCCCAUCCCCCACUACUACACAUUUCUAUUCAACUUCCUGACCCUCUGUACUUCUCUUCUGUUCCUUCCCACACCUGAUCUUACUCCCCCUUCCCUCUCCCUCCUGUCUCCCUCUCAGGUCCUUCCCUCCCUCUACUUUUUGUGAUUAUUUUGUGGUGCACAUUUAUCUUUCUAAAUGAGGCAAUGAAAGACUUACUAGACAAAGAUAAUCCUUGCCUUCUGAGUCAACUAUUUUAAGAAUCAUUUUGAGUCAGGCAUUUUCCUAUUCAAAAAUAAAAGAGGAAACUAGAGUUGAAAUGAAGUCAGAUUUAGUCCAUUCUUGGCUUUGAAAAGAAGUCUCACAACAAAGAUUAAUGCAAUAUAAAAAUUAUUCUUCCUGGCCUUUAGGGAAUUUCAUCCCUAGUACGAUGUAUGAAGGAUUGUCCAUGCUAUCUAACGCCUGGAAUGUUUGUGCUUCAGGUAAAUGAAGGUCUAACUGUGUGCUAACCUUCUUUUCAGUCUUAUGAGCCUAAGAGGCAUUUUUCCAAUUCAUUCACUAGGUCCCACCUGUCUCAUCCUUUGAAUAUAAACAAAAGAUACCUAUGACUUCAGUCGGUACUCUAAGAUAUGUGUGUUUUGGAGAAACAUUGAUGUAUUUAUUUAUAUCCAUGUGCUGUUUCCCCCUUCCUUGUGAGGUUUUCAUUUCACGCAGCAAACCACAGCAAUAAUGUGAAAUAUUUCACUCCCUUCCUUGCCUAUCUGUACUAUGACACAAUUACUGUGCUCCAGUGUAUCCUUGCCUAAAUGAGACAUAUCUAGUCAAUACAAUCCCUUGCUGACCAUGUCAACCUUUUUUCUACUAGAAACUUGUUAUCAUAAAAUGGAGAUACAAUAUCUAGAAGUGCAAUUAUUGGUUAAACCAAAUCCCUUAAAGUUGUGAAAGAACAGUAAAGUUAGCAAUGCAACAGAUGGAAAAUAUGUAGUUAUUUAUUAUUUAUCAAAAUAAUAAAUAUUUAUUAUUUUGGAAGUCCAGAAUGCCACUAAAUUUAUAUUUUCAGUGAGAAGAAUUACCCUAUUUGAGAUCCUGGAAACAAUAAAUAAAUUGUGAUUUGAUUGGGAAUUUGGGACCACUUGUAACAUGACAUUCUGCUCUGGAUCAGUUCAUUAUGUGGAUUAGGGGGCUUUAGAAUCAUAGAAAGGUGAUAUUGAAAAAAAAACACUAGCAACCAUCAUAAUAAAAGCAGUAAACAUGUCAAGUAUUACUGGUUAUUAAAAAAUGUUGCCAAUGUCACGUGUGUAUUAAGAGCUGAGGCAAGUGGAGUGUUGAUAAGCCUGCUGUGAAGGUGAGACCUUUCCUGAUGCAUUAAUAUUCAUUUCCUAUAAUCAAUGCCCUCAUAGAUAAUGUUUGCUCAGUUAAAGCCUAUUAUGCUCACACCAAGUAAAAUUUGCAGUAAAUCAUAACAGCUUCCAGUCUAACUCCCACUGAUUUGGGCUCCUCUGAACAAAUUUUCCAAUUUCAGAUCAGAAUAUGACUCAACCCAUCCAGAGCUCUUCAGUGUUGUCCUAGUCUUUGCCUGUGUAUAGAGAUCUGUAGUGAACUUUGCAACUCAAAUAAGUUCAGGGUACCAGAAGUUCUGAUUAGCAUUGGGACAUAGCUAUUGCUACAUUCCUAAAUCCACAUUUACAAAGGCUACUUCUGCAAUUCCUAAGGGGACAUUAAAGAACAGCGGGAACAACAGUGUAGACUUGUUACUUUAGGGUGGAGACAGUUAAAGAAUCUGAGUUACAUGGGCUAAACACCAAGGGAUUCAAUGCAUCUUUGAGAUUUGGAUCAAACUGACCUGUAGCAGGCACAAACCAGUUUGCUUUCCCAAGUUUCCAUUUGCAAAAGACUCUUUGACUUUGCAUAGAGUUUAUGCAAUGCAUAAAAACCAAUGUUAAAUAAACAUUCAGUGCUAGCAACAAGCACUAUUAAUAAUUUUAAAAUGUCAACACUUAUGAAAAAAGUUAAAGGAGUUACAAUGUUUGGCAUAUAGUUAUUAGCACAGAAUAAUAUAGAAAAACAUAAUGUGAAACUUUGGAGUUCUUGCCUUCAUUUUAAUGAUGUGCAAACGUUCCUUUGCACUUUAUGAUGGCUCAUCUUUUCCAGAGUAAAGGCUUAUUCCUUUCUUGUUCUUAUUCUUAUUUUCUUUUAUUAUGAUAAGAGUCUCUGGCUGGAGAGAUGGCUUAGCCAUUUAAGGUGAGGCUCGCAACCAAAAAUAUAAGAAUCUCUGAAAGGCAAAUAUUGGUAAAGCUCUCUCUCUUUCUUUCUCUCUCUCUCUGUCUCUCCCUCCCCCACCUCCCUCCCCCCUCCUCUCUCUCUCUUUCUGUGUGUGUGUGUGUUUGUGUGUGGUGUGUGUGUGUGUGUGUGUGUGUGUGUGUUUGUGGUGUGUGUGUGUGUGUGUGUGUGUGAGUGUGUGCGCACACAUCCGGGUGCAUGUACCUGUGAAGUGCAGACGAUUUUAGUAGACAGGAUCUCUCAGCUACCCUGGAGCUCAUUGACCCCUAGACUAGCUAACGAACUGCUUCAGCUGUUCUUUGUCCUUCGUGUUCCAGGUUAACCCAAGUAAGCCCCAGCCCCAGGAAUCCUCCAGUUUCCUCCCACCUCAGCCCUGGGCUUUCAUACAUGGACUAUGUGUGUUGCUUUUAACCUGGGUGCUGGGGAUUGGACAAAGUACCUUCUGCACAUGUAUCUUGCACUUUACUGACAAAACCAUAUCCUCAGCCUCCAAAGUUUAAUAAAGUUUCAGAGUAACUAUUUUAAACUGUAUAGGAUGAAAGAGAAUUAAAGAUAAAGUGAAAAUAUAUUAAAAUAUAACACAUUUCCACAUUUUAUCAAUAAAUUAAAAAUAAUUGCAUUCAAGUAUUCCCAAAACAGAACUACAGAAGAGACUAAUUAAAAGGGUAUUAAUGUUUAUGGGAUUGAAAGCAAGGGUAAUUUUCCCCUUAAUUGUGGUUUAAGUUAGUGUUACCUAUCAUCAAAUUGAUUUCUUCUUAUUUUUUACAUUAUUUUUAUUGGUUAUUUUAUUUAUUUACAUUUCAAAUGUUAUCCCCCUUUCCAGUUUCCCCUCCACAAACUCCCUAUUCCCUUUCCCUCCCCUCUAGGAGAGCGCUCCCCGACUCACCCUCUCCAGCCUCAGUGCCCUAGCAUUUCUUUAUGCUGGGUCAUUGAACCUCCACAGAACCAAGGGGUUCCACUCCCAUUGCUGCCAGAAAAGGCCAUCCUCCAAUACAUACACAGCUGGAGCCAUGGGUCCCUCCAUGUGUACUCUUUGAUUGGUGUUUUAGUCCCUGGGUGCUUUGGAGAAUCUGGUUGGUUGAUAUCACUCUUCCGCGGAUUGUAAACCCUUUCAGCUCCUUCAGUCCUUCCCCUAAAUCCUUGUUUCGGGUCGCUACUCUCAGUCCUAUGCUUCGGGUCGCUACGCUCAGUCCUAUGCUUGGCUUUCUGCAACUGCAUCUGUAUUAGCCCGCCUCUGGCACGGACUCUCAGGGGACUGAUAUACCAGGCUCCUGUCAGCAACUGCUUCUUGGCAUCUGCAAUAGUCUGGGUUUGGUGUCUGCAGAUAGGAUGGAUCCCUAGGUGGGGUAGUCUCUGGAUGGCCUUUCCUUCAGUCUCUGUUCCACUCUUUGUCCCUGCAUUUCCUUUUGACAGGAGCAAUUCUAGAUUAAUAUUUCUGAGAUGGAUGGGUGGGCCCAUCCCUCAAUUGGGGACUGUGCCUAUCCACUGGAGCUGCUCUAUCUUUCCAUUGUUAGGUAUUUCAGCUAAUUUCAUCCAUGUUGGGUUCUGGGAACCUCUUGGGUCCCUGGCAUCUGGUACUUUCCAGUGACUACCCCCAUUCCCUCCCCCACUGUUACAUACCUCCUUUCAAAUUCCUGACAUUCUGUACUUCUCCCCCCAACCCACCCCAUGUCCUCACAUGACUGGUCCUGUUCUCCCCUUCUGUCCUCCUCUCUCCCUCUGAGAUGCUUCCCUCCUUCCACCUCCCAUCAUUUUCUUCCUCCUUUUAAGUAGGACUGAAGCAUUCACACUUUGAUCUUCCUUCUUCUUGGGUUUCAUAUCGUCUGUGAGUUGUAUCAGGGGUAUUCAAUGAAUUUUUUUUAUUUGGUCUUUCUUCCUUCCUUCCUUUCUUUCUUUCUUUCUUUCUUUCUUUCCUUCCUUCUUUCUUUCUUGCGUUAAUAUCCACUUAUAUGUGAGUACAUACUAUCUGUGUUCAUUUGUGACUAGGUUACCUUACUCAGGAUGUUUUUUUCCAGUUCCAUCCAUUUGCCUGUAAAUUUCAUGAAGUCUUUGUUAUUAAUAGCUGAGUAGUAAUCCAUUAUAUAAAUGUAUCACAUUUUCUGUAUCCAUUUAUCUGUUGAGGAGCAUUUGGGUUCUGUGGGAUUGCAAUCUGGUACAACUACUCUGGAAGUCCAUCUUGGCUGUUUUUCACAAAAUUGGAAAUAGUUCUUACCUGAAGACCCAGCUAUAUCACUGCUGGGCAUAUACCCAAAAGCUGUUUCAACAUAUAACAAAGACACAUGCUCCACUAUGUUCUUAGCAACCCUUUUUUAUAAUAGCCAGAAGCUGGAAAAAAUAAAAUUGAUUUCUAAAAGUCUUUUUCACAAAUAACCUUAGUUUGCAUGGUGAAACCAUUGCAGACUUAAUUUGGCAGAGGGCUGGCCUAUAGUUUCCUGUCUCUGUCCUUAGAUUUAGAAAGCAGGGGGACCCAUCGACACUUUUCAGAUUAACACACUGAAGAAAACUCAAGUCUGCUUGAAAUGCCUCAGAAUCUGACCACAUUUGAGUGGGAAGGAAGAUUCGAGAUAGUCUCAUGGACCCUCCUUUCUGAAAGAAGUCUCUAGAAUCCUUAACUAAGCUUCAUUUGACAUUUCAGACAUAUUGUGUUUAAACAUUGAUUAGACAGUGUUGACAAGUUCUUACUGACACCAUCACAGACUUGUGGUCAUCUCAGCAGAAAGAGGAAGACCAAUUGAAGGAAGCUCUGAGGUGUGGUCAUCUAAUAUCUGCUCUCAGGAGAGAACAUGUAAGAAAAGUAGACAAUUGGAAAGAAAUUUAUUUCUUCAUCUCUGUCUCUUCUAUCUAAAAACAAUGUGGAGAGAGGAAGAGAACUUCACAGAUAGAAUAGCGUUUGUAUAAAUAAUGAAAUUGCAAUGGCAUUCUUUAGUAUUAUUGUAGAUGAAAGUUGGGGAAAGAAGGUGUGCCGACAUCUCAGUAGGAGUAGCAUGCUUGGCUUCCCCUGCCAUACCAUGAAGAACAUUCUGUGAGCCCCAAACAGAGUAACUGUGUCUUCCUUGCUGCUGCUGCUGUUUCUGAAAAUUCUGAAUGCUGAGACCAAUGGAGAGUCGAUGUCAGUAGAGGUCAUCCAACUGAGUCUUCAUAGGCACACAAGUUCUUAAAGAGAACUUUAUUAUAUUUUUAAUUUGAGGCUUUCUUCAUUUUUAUUUUACAUCUAUGAGUGUUUUGCCUGCAGAUAUGUCUAUAUGUCCUGUGUUUGCAGGACUCAGAGUCCAGUAGAAGGCAUUGGACGCUCCAGAACUGGAUUUACACAUGGCUGUGAGCCACCAGGAGUCAUUCAUUCACCUCAGAUGCUGCCACAGGAACAGGAUGCUGUGAUGUUGCAAUGGACCUCUGCGGUAAUCAACUUACAGCACGAUACACUUCUGGCAAUUGUAAAUAAAUACUUUACAAUUUGUCUCCAUUUACAAGAUAAGCUGCCAGGGAGAGUAGAGGAAUGAUUAGUGGAACAUUGUUUUUUAUCAACAUUGUCCACACCACAGACUUGGCUGGCUUGAGUGCGUCUAUGCUGUGAGUCCACUGCCUUGUGAUUUUUGGAAUAUUUGACAACAGGGCAUCAAUGCAUGAUUGAAAAGGUGUCAGAAUGAGGGUAAGCAGAGUUUAGUUCUAUGUUAUGUUCAAACUGAGAAUUUUAGCAGCACAUUUGUUCUCUGUGGGUUUCACUUGGCUAGAAUGUGACAUGAGAAAUUGAGACAAGAACCUUUACUGGAGUAACACUAAGGGAUGUAUUGGCCUUACAUGUCAAUAGCUUGAAAUUUUAUUGUCAUAGUCAUUUAUAGUUUCGAUUUUGUGUCUGUCAGACUUUGGAGAUAUCUGGGAUAAUUGAUAGGUUUCUAUAAUGCUUUUUGGUCAUCAUGAAAGGAGAGAUCUAGACUAAAUGUGACAAGUUCAAAUGUCUGGGUUACGUAUUAGGCUCAAAAAUGCGCAAAGAAAGAGAGAAUAAGAAACCUAGGAAACCCGUCAGUAUGUGUCCUUUCUAAGGGUACAGCUGUUGACGCCUUCUAAACUUUAAGGGGAAGCUGUGUAAAUUGCCUUUUGUAUGAACUCUCCAGUUGUUAAAUGUUAACAACUAAUACAAUGUGUAUUAAAUAUUCAGAAGUUUGGAACACACGCACCAGACACUAGUUUGGAUUUCUGCUUCAUAUCAGUGAUUUUCAGACAUUUUUCUCGUAAUAACUAUGAGUAAUAAUAAUAGUAAUAUAGUAACAUAGUAACCCCAUGAUUUUUUGUGUUUAUAUAGGAAACGAAUUUCUAAAGCGGUAUGUGUAAUGCAACUAUGUUUCAAUUUUACUCUAUAUUGCAGAAUUUGUUAAUGCAAAAUACAGCUCCCACUUCAAAGACAAUAAAAACAGUUUGUUCUGAGCAAAACGCAAGUGACCCUGACGUGAAAAACGGAUUCAUGAUGCUUCCUAUAACGUUCUAAUGUGGAAGUAGGUGCGUGAACACUUUUAUACUGACAUAACAAAAGAGCGCGAUAAAUCAAUCAAAGCAUUUACGAAAUACAUUGAUGGAUCUUCCAGUGAGUAAGCUACCUUAAAAAUGGGGGAGACUCUACUACACAAGUCUCAGACGCAACCUGAGCUUAGUUUUUGGGUUAUUAAGAGUAAAUAUGUGCUAAAAAUACAAUUAAAAAGUUUUACCUGUCACGAAAGGUGUAGAGGGAGUCAGUGUAUGACUACGGGGACUAAAGAUAGCCCAAGAUAAUUUAAUUCUGGAUUUGCAAUGGGGGAUUGCUUCCUUUUCCAUGUUUUAUCAGUUCAUUGACUUCUACAGCAUUCCAUCUCUUCUUACCAAAUAUUUCUAUUAGUCAGUUUUGUAGGUAUGACAUUGUCUGGGUAAUUUUAUUAAUAGGUCCCUGUUGGCUAAACAUCACAUUAUUUGUACAUACAGUCCAAGUACUUUAAGUCCGGUGGUAGUGACAGGAAGACUCAUUCCUGGGAUCACAAAAAGAAGUUAGUGUGGGCCAGAAAGCUGUCUUUAGGGUAUAGUUGUUAAAAACCAUUAAGAAAGCUUCCCAGAUCCUAUGCAUAUCUGUAGUCAUCACAGUCUGGACAUCAUGUUCUUUCUGUUUCUGCCCAUGAAUCUGUCGUAACAUCUAUGUGCCACUUACAGUAGUAAGAUUAUACCAUAAGUUCAAAUACUCAAAAAUGCAGAAUCCCUCUACAAGUAAAGAUAGUAGAUGAAAGAAAGACAUUUUUAACUCACACAAAAAAACACACUCUUUAAGCAAGCUAAGUAUAUAUAGUUUUUCCCAUGUCAAGUUAUUCAUAUUUUGUGAACUAUGUCAUGUGAGGUUUGCUGUAUUUGCAAUGGUUUAUUAUUUUUCUUUUUCAGAAUUUCAUGCAUGAGCACCGAAUCUAUGCUAUUUCUCCUCUCCUUUCUCUUCCUUCGUUAUUCAAUAUUUUCUUCUUUUAUUACUUUUCUGUUUCUCUCCUGUGUGUGUGUGUAUGUGUGUGUGUGUGCGUGUGUGUGUGUGUGUGUAUUCUACUAAGUCAACUGACUGGAUUUUUUUUUACUCUAGAUUAUUUUUUUGGCUAAAUCGAUUUUAGAGCCAUAAACCCAUCAGAGUUUGGUCAGCUUUAAAGUUUGAAAAGGCUCGGGUUUUAUGUCCAGGUCAUUGCAACAGUUUGGGCUUGUACUUUUAUUUCUCUUAUUACUUGGAUACUACACCAAAUUACAGUUUAGACCAGUAAAAAAAAAUAGUCUCAUUUCAGAGGAAAUAAGACAACAUUUCAGUGUCAUUUUAAAGCCCUUCCCUCCAAACUGUCCUUUCUCCAUACAUCAAACAAUAGUGGUAGACACAGAAACAAGUGAUCAGAAUCAUAAGAAGUUAGGAUUCCCUAGUUGUUGUGAUUGUAACAAAAUCCAAUUACAUGUUUCCUUUUUUUGGGGGGGGGAGCUGGGGACCAAACCCAGGGCCUUGCGCUUGCUAGGCAAGCGCUCUACCACUGAGCUAAAUCCCCAACCCCCAAUUACAUGUUUCCUAAUCACAAAGAGAAAUGGAAUUCUGGAAGGAAUGCAUGUUAUCAUCGACUUCCCUUUUGUGAAGGUUAGUGCUGUCUAGUAUUUUUCCAAUUCUGGCUAAAUAAAGUACAGUUCCCCCAGACUUACUUUUAGAGGUUUUAAUGUUUAUUACAGAAUUAUUUUCUAAUUAUGUGUGCUUUUAUAGGGCUAUGUGCACUGGAAUACAGUCAGAAACCAAAGAGAGAUGAAUGCUGGUGUUUAGCUGGCUUCCUCAUCUUUUUUAUGCAGUCUGAGCCCCCAGUCCCUGGAGGGGUGCCACUCAUAUUCAGAAUGUGUGUUUUCACCUCAAUUAACCUGAUCUGGAUAAUUCUUCAUUGGCAAUCCUAGAGGCUUGUCUUUUGGUGAUUCAUGCUCCUGUCCACUUGAUAAGUAAUGUUAAUCAUUAAAAUAACACAAGAUCAGUUAGCUCUGUAUUUUCAACCUCCCAAACUCUCACCAUUGUGAAUUUCUAAUCAGUCCAGCAGCCUUUUACAAUCUUUAACAGUUGUGUGGAGUUUUUUCCCUAGGAAAAUUAUCUAUUCUAUUGUGAAUUUUUAAUCUAAUACUAAUUUUCUCUCAAAAGGACUUCUCAUAUAGCUAUUAAAUAAUUUUUACAAAUCUCUAGUGGAUUAUUAUUUUCAAUAUAUUUUGUGGAAAAAAAGCCUAGAUGGCAGUAUUGUUAAACAUGAAUGGGACUGGUGAUGUAAUUAUGUCAUAUCUUCAAGAAUAAAAAUAAUUAUUAUAAAAAAUACAUACAAAACAUGUUUGGGAAUUCCUGUCUAGAAUCUAGACUUCCAGAAUAUUUUACAGUCAAAUUCUUCAGCUUAGAAUCUUAAGGAACACUUCAUACCUGCUGUGAACAUAAUGUUUUCUGCGUUGUAUGUAAAGCCUCUGCCUCUAGACCUGACCUGCCAGUAGCCAGCAUGUGACAGAGAUGAGUUUGAUCCUGUAGCCAUGACAAUAAUGUAUGCAAAAUAACACAAUGUUUGCUAGGCAUAUAAUAAUGUUAACAGUCUGUCAUCACUGUCAGUACAAGGUAACACCCACUUGAGAUUCUGUCCACUACUAUCUAUUGCCUCUCAACUCCACAGUAUCUUAGAAAACAGUAGUGUAGACAAAAUGGAGACACUUAAGUCAGGACACCAUGAUACAGCUUCUAUGAAGCCACUAGGACUUUUCAGUGAUACAGCUGUGGUUUGAUCACUGAUGUUCCGAUGAAUAUCCACUCACAAGUGGUCCUAUAGUAAAGCACAAUAAACUCAUUUGUUCACCAAGCUGGACUGGUAUAGAAUCUAUUUCUUUGGUCUGUCAUUGGUACCGAACAUGAGUUAAGUGAGUGUUUAUUAGUAUCUCUGCAGGAAAUUAAGUAAUGCAACAUAAGAAACUGCGAAUUAUAUGUAAUCCAUAACCAGUAAAUAGUUCUAAGAAGACAGAGCUGAAGGAAAGGCAUGGGAAAAUAUAUGAUAAUACACUGGAACAUAUAACUGAGAGUGAUAAUACCUCUUUUUUAUAAAGGAGAUCAUUUUCUACCCUUUAGUCAAAACAGGUAGCUUGUAUAGGUACUUACUCAUAUGGUCUGUGGACAUAUGCAUCUCGGAUUUCAAAUGUUGUUUCCUGACAAAUCAAUGUGGAUUUCUUCAGAAAGUAAAUAUAGAUGCCUUCAUGUGUUGGUUCUGUUCAUACAAUUUAUAUUUUAUCAGAAAUGUAAUACAGAAUUGAUCAAUGUUCUCUGCGUAAUGUCACAUUCUUUCGCACAGCUUCUUUCUGGUUAAUAUAGUUUAUUAUUGACAAGUCUGUGUAUGACAAUAGCUUUCAGAUAUCACAGAAAGAUGUGAAAACUUCACAACAAACUAUAGCUCAUGGAAUUUACUAUUGGGGAAAAUAACAGUAAAGGAAAUUAUUAAACUUUUGUAAUUAUAAAUAUAUCAUUUAACAUUUCCGAAAUCUAUUUAUGCAAUACCACAUUGUUUGUUUUAUGUUUUAUAUAUAUAAUAUAUACAUAUAUAUCUUAAAAAUUGUAUAUAUUCUCAAUCAGUUACUAAAUAUGAAAACUAUAUUAUUUGUGAUGUUUUAAAUAGAAAUGGCCCCAAUAGGCUCAUACAUUUGAAUGCUUGGUUAUUAGGGAGUUGCUCUACAUGACAAAGAUUAGGAGGCAUGGCCUUGUUGGAGUAGUUUUAACUUUGUUGAUGAAAAUGUGUCCCUGGGAGUGGCUUUGGGGUUUCAGGUACCAAGCCAGGGUCAGUGUCAUCCUCUCUUACCGCUCUCUGUGAAUCUGGAUGUAGAAUUCUCAAGCUCCUCUCCAGCACCAUGUCUGCCUGCAUGUUGCCAUGCUUCCCACCAUGCUGAUAAUGGACUAAGCCUCUGAAACGUCUGCAAGCCUCAAUUAAAUUCCAUCUUUUAUAAGAGUUGCCAUGGUCCUGGUAUCACUUCACAGCAAUAGAACACUAAGACAUUGUUUUACUUAAAAUUAAUCAUUUGUAUCAUUAAAAACGGAAUUAGAUACUGGCUAGGCACAAAUUUAACCUCAUGUUUUAUACCCACUGUCUGAUAAACGUGUUUCUUAAUUCUGACUUAAGUUGAAGGAGUGUAUUCUAAGUAAGUAUCUUCCUCCUAAUUCCUUCUUACAUUAAUUUAGCACACACCUGAAGGCUCUAAAUUACUUUGACCCUAAAUUUCUAUAAUUUUGACAGUAUGGUUAGUUAAAAAUACAAUCGUUAGUAGUACGGUAGACAUGUACCAGAUUUAUUGAGCCCUCACCAUGGAAAGUGUUUUCCAUAUAUUACUUUAUUAAAUCUCAUUAUUUGAUAAUGUUUUAUCAUUGCCAAUUCAUGAGCGUAGAAGCUGGAGUUAGUAACAGUUUUGCACAGUCGGUGGCAUAACCUAUGUUUUAAACGACUGAGAUAUUAUGCCUCUGUGUUUAGCUUAACUGACAUUUAUGUGCCAGCCAGUAAUCAAAUCAACAGAGCUCCUUGAGUCUGGAGGGGGGCCUUUCCAUAUGAAUAUGGUUAGUGUUUAUUUACUACACACCAGUAAAGUUAUAUAUCUGUCUUCUGAAUAUUAAAAAAAAAUUCUGUAUAGUAUAAAAGAUGAUUGUUGGCCAGACCAACUCACCACCAGCUGGUUUUUCUUAAGACCCUCAAUGUGUUUUCUCUGAUUCAGUAGCUAAAUGAUUCUUACCAUAUACUUUGGUGCCAGAGCUGUUAGGCUAGUCUGUGAUCAGCUGGCAGUAGCCACUGGUUGCUAAAGGUUUGCACUCAUCCUUGAGUAAUAGAGUUCAAUGCAGUGCUCCCGGACAGUCUUGUGUAAUGAAGCAAAAGCACUUAGGGAGUGGUGGCUAAGGGUUUAGCUAGAGUGCUCUGCUCUUGAAUGUGAACAUUGGAAUCAAAUCAUUUCACUAAAAGGAAAGGCCUGUCUGUCUGUCUGUCUCUGUCUGUCUCUGUCUCUGUCUCUGUCUGUCUGUCUGUCUGUCUGUCUCUCUCUCUCUCUCUCUCUCUCUCUGUGUGUGUGUGUGUGUGUGUGUGUGUGUGUGCACUUGCAUGCAUGCACAUGUGGCGAUCACAGGAAAGCUUUCAGAAUUAGGUUCUAUCCUUCUACCAUUACUUGUUUCAAAAGCUAUGUACUUGGACAUUUAUUUAUUCUUAAGAAUGUACCAAAGAGGUGGGGGAAGCAGAGACUGGGGAGAUAAAUCACUCAAUGAAGUGCUUGUCACACAAGCAUGAAGAUUUGAGUCCAUCUUUAUCACUCACAUGAUGUCACCAGUUGUGAUGUCUUGCUUUUUUAAGCCUAGAACUGGGGAUGAAGAUUCAGAAGAAACCCUGGGGUUCACUGGUCAGACAGCUAAUUUUUUUCAAGUCCUGCAUCCCACCAAAAGACUUUUUUAACGUAAAACAAAGUGGAUUGUUUGUAAGGAUAAAUGACAACCAAGUUUUUUUCCAUAUCUCAAAACACAUGAGCAGGACACACAGGGCACACACACACACACACACACACACACACACACACACACACACAUACACAACCCACACAGGUAAAUAAAGUUAUGGGGGAUCAAUUUGUAAAUUAUUGCAACAUAAUCUUAAUUACAAAGUUAGGCAGAAGAAAGAAAGAUAAUUCUUCAACACUAUCUCCUUAUGGGGUAACUGUAGGGAUGUUAAUAUAAAAGUCCUUCUAAACCAAGAAUUUGCCUAGUCACGGGGAUGGGGAUCACUGAAAGAUUCAGUGACUCUUCUGUCUGGGGUCUUCAUCGUGAGUACUUAACAAAUGUCCCUAGACCUAUGUUUCCCUUGAAAGAUAAACUAUCUUCAUUAUGAUGCAGUUUUCUUCUUACAUUGAAUGAUCCCUUGUCAUUUUCCACAAGAACAUGGAGUUGAAAAUGUUGUACCUGUCACAAGAUGUUUGAAGAGCAAAGUGUCAGUCAGUACACAGACUAAAGUGAGCAAUUUUGAAAUUAUAUAAAAUUCCCUGUUCCAAAUUUUCAUCCUGUCAUGCUAUGAGCUGCACAAACAUUCAAAAGAACACACAGAUCUAUCUUAUGUCUACACAGGUACAAUAAUAAGCCAUGCUUCAAAAUUUAUGCUAAUUACAUGAGAUUUUCAUACAUGUAUGUACUUGUCAUAGAUAUAUGUAAGUAGAUAUACAUCAAGACACCCGGUAUGUUUAUUUAUCUAAUUUUAGAGGAGCAUCAAUAAAUGAUGUGUUGUGUAUUGAUGAUAAAAAAGGACUUUUAUGGGUAAAUUCGAUGAGUUGUGGAUUUAUGGCAAAGUUCAGUAGCCUCUGUGUGUUAAGGAUAAUAAAUACUGUGUAAAGAGAUAGAGACAAUGAAUGACAAUAUAAAUUGAAAGCUGUGGUUUAUAAAAACACAAAAAUAACAACAAAAGAUGAGUUGAUUCUGUUGGUCUUCCUGUGGAGUUCCUAUCCCCUUAGGGGUCUGCAAUCCUUCCUCUUAUUCUCCCAUUAGAGUCCCCAAGCUCCACCCACUGUUUGGCUGUGGGUGUCUGCAUCUGUCUGAGUCAGCUGAUGGGUGGAGACUCUCAGAGGGCAGAGUAUCAUUACCAGUGUCAGGCACUGGUGCUUGCCCAUGGGAUGGGUCUCAAGUUGGGCUUGUUGGUGGUUGACAAUUCUCUCAGUCUCUGCCCUAUCCACAUGCAUUUAUUGCAGGCAGGAUAACUUUGGGGUCUUAAGUUUUUUGGGUGGGUUGGUGUCUUUAUUGAUCUAUUGGAGUUUUUGCUUGGUGACAGGAGUAGCCUUUUUAGGUUCUAUGUCCCCAAUGGUGUGCAUCACAGCUAUGAUCAACCCCCCAUCUUGAUUCUUGGGUGCUUCCCUUAUCCCAGCUCUCUGUCUCUUCCUGGAGAUUCCCCCACCUCCCCACCAGUUCAUUUGUUGAUUUCCAUUUACUCCCAUAGUCAUCUGGCCAUCCCUCCUGUCCCUACUCACACCUCAUCCUGAACCCCUAUUCCUUUUUCCCAUCCACUCUACCACCUGAUUACAUCCCUCCAUCUCCCUCUUCCAUAGGAGGAAAGAUUGUUCCACCAGGGCUAUAGGAAUUCCACAGGAAGAAUCAACUCACCUGGACCAUUGGAGUUUUCAGAGGCUGAACCACCAACCAAAGAACAGACACAGGCUGGACCUAGGCAUCCCUGCACAUCUGUAGCAGAUGUACAGCUUGUUCUUCAUGUGAGUUCUGAACAACUGGAAUGGGGACGAUCCCAAAAGCUGUACCUGGGCUAUGUUUUUCUAGACGGGUUGCCCUGUCUGGCCUCAGUGGGAGAGGAUGUGCCUAGCUUCACAGAGACUAAUGUGCCAGGGUUGGGGUAUACCCAGGAGGAACCCACUAGCUUAAAGAAGAAAGGGAGAUGGGGAAAGAUUGUGGGAGUGGGAGACUGGGAGAGGGGCAGUGAGCAGGUUCCUAAAAAGUGAAUAAAGAAAAAAUAAACAAAAAUUAAAUUAAAGAUGAAUGAAACCCACAAGAAUUUGCACUUUUGAUCUCACAGCAGCUGUGACUGCAGACAGAAGACCUGCACAUGUUCAAUCCUCACAGAAUCCCAGCAUGUGUGGAAAUGGGUCUUACGAAGUUCCACCUCUAACUAAGAAGCCCAACAAUUGGGCUUCUGGGGUAAAAGAGUCAUUUUUUCAGGGUGCAACACCUGGGGGAUACUGGUACUCUAGUAGGUGACCCUAUAGCUUUUGCAUAUAUUGACAACACUAAAGAGAAUCAGUGUGUAAAACCAAGCCAAGCCAAACCAGACCAAACCAAACCAAACCAACCCAAACCAAACCAACCCGAACCAAACUAAACCAAACCAAACUAAACCAAACCAAACAUUAUGUGAACUUGGGAGGGAAUAGCUGGAAUGGAGGGGGAAAGUGGAACUAGGAGGGGGAUGAAUAGGACAGGAUCCAGUUGCGUCAUGUGAAUUAUGAAUAUUUUAAACAAUUAAGUAAUAUUACAAAUAGAAACACCAUAACCAAUGUUGUUAUUCACUGUAUUUCCCAAGCUGAACCAUCUUGUAGGCAAUCAAUUCUGUUUUGCUUCCCUGGCCCAACUGAUUAAAUGUCAGCAUUUCUUUUCAGAGGUGGAGAAAUUGAUAUUAUGGUCUUUUACUUACAUUAUUCUUACUCUUUCAUAAAUUUCUCCCCAAGUUUCAGACAGCCUUCAAUUACAUUUUGGCAAAUGUUUCACGAUAAAAUUUAUUUGUAAGUAUUUUCUAUGUUUUGUUACUGGUAAAAGGAAGAUACUGUGCUUAUUUAAAUCAGGGUUGCUAUUUUUUUUUCAAAGGAAAACAGGACUCAAAGAACGAUAGGAGGCAUUAUGCCAUUUUAAAAUGCCCCUGCUUUUCCUAGUUGACAAGGACCAAAAUGCUAUAAUUUACCCUCAAGUCAUGUUCCUUUUCUCUGUCAUUGUCCAAGAAUUGUAUUUUUCAGUUCUGUUGGAAAUUGGCUGAGGCUUGAUGUGUGCUAUCUUUCCAAAGAUUGAUUAUGGUGUGACAUCCUAAUGGCAUCUGGCUUGCUACUGACCAAGAGGUGACAAUGGAGUUAGGGAACUGACAGUGAUGUAAAGGGUACAUGACUGCCAAGCUCUCUCUUUUGGGCUAUUUUUAUACAUUGUACUGAGUUUGAGCCCUGACUCUCCACUACUGGAAACCUGUAGUCUUUACCUGAAUAGUCUUCAAAGCACAAUACCCCUAUUUAAUCUCCUGUCGUAUAUUGAUUCAUUCUCUCUCUCUCUCUCUCUCUCUCUCUCUCUCUCUCUCUCUCUCUCUCUCUCACACACACACACACACACACACACACUCACACACACUCACACACACACACACACUCACACACACACACAAACACACAUACACACACAUACACACACGGCACUCAUACAAUCUUGUUUUUUCUAUAAUAGAACCUUGUAAUCCUUCUUGUAAGAAAAACAAAAUCACAGUUGCUUGUUUUCUUCAUACUUGCAAGUCUCCUAAGCUUGCAUUUUCUAUCUUUUAAAAAGAGAAAUGUAUUACAGCGGUCUUUCUGCAUGGUUGAAGAUGGGAAGUAGUUCAGUGUGGUCUGCCUCAUGAGCUGAGGGACUGUGGAGUGUGCAGCAGAAACAUUAUUAUGCCCGAUUUUGUCUUCGUAUGAAAUUUUCAUAGUAUUUUCACCUGUACAGGAACCAAACAGUUCUCCUUUUCUUCCUUCAUAUGUGUUUUCUACAAUCAUCUAGCAAGGUACCCUCCCUCUUCUCUGUCAGUGUCUGAAGACCCCAUCUCUGCCCCUUAAUGAGCUCUCUCUUUAUUACUCUUUAUCCAGUCCUGUCAUGUCCUUAGGUCUUCCCCUUGCUCUGAGCAUCCUUAGUACAUUUGUUAGGUUAAUCAUACUCACAAGUAUCUGUGGCUUAAUAUUUCUUAUAUUUUUGAAUACUGUCAUGUGCAUGGAGGUUUUGAGCAUAUUCUUAUUUGUUCCUUAAAAUGAACAUUUGUCUUGUUGGUUUUGAGGAAACUGACACACAGUCAUAGAGACAUAACAUGCAGGCAAUUCAGAACUAAUGGACAUAGAGUGUGACACUGUUUCAACUCAAGGGAGUUUCUAAUCAUUUCAUGAACAUACUAGUGACAUAUGUAAGUUAAUUGAUUCAGCAUACACUCAUUGGACAGCCACAAUACACAGGAUUGUUGCUAGGCAACUAAGGAUACAAAACGAAGUAGAGCAAGUUAGAUCCCUGCCUCUAAGAACGUACAUUUCACUCCAGAGGACUAAAAUUAUAUAAUCACGCAAUGAACUGUUUGGUUGUCUCUGCCAGCAGUACAGUUUGGAUGCAUAAAGGGAUUUAUUGAGUUAGAAACACUCUAGGAAGAACAAACCUUACUCAGAGGGGACUGAAACUAUGAGGGGACUGAAAUUCAUCAAAUAACAAGAGAAGGAACAUCUAUGUUAGGCAGGAAACAUCAAUGGCACAUCAAUGAGGAAGCAGAGGGGUUCCAUAGGACAUUUCAUUGUACCCAUUCCCAUUGUUACUGCAAAUACCCUGAGGCACAUGUUCCUCUAUUUUUGCUUAAUAACAAGUCUAAGCAUGUUCUUCAAGUCAUUAUAAUUUUGUUUUUGAGAAAUAAUGGUCCUGUUUGUAGAAUUUAAUAAUUUGCUUUAGUUUUUCAGAGAUUGGGCAGAGUAGAAAUAAUUUGACCCACGUCAAAGAUAAAACAGGUUUGAGAAGUAUGAGCCAAAAUUAGUGCAGUAAACGUAUGAGCCUGCUCCCUAGGGACUCCUUGGGUUCGGUGACAAGGAGAAAUACAAAAAGUAGGCAGCCAUCCCUUUCUGUCUGAGAGCAGGGCACUCCCUCUGCCUCUUAUGUGGAUUAGGGCAGAUAGAAGGCAUUAGGCAGGUCUCAGCAUGGGACAAACAAGUGUGUCUGAGAGAGUGUUGUCUCUCAGUCAGACAGGCCUACAUCCUGCUCCUGGAGCUAUUCAAGCUAACUUCUCCAUUUGGGAAAAACAAAUAAUACAGAAAGCCCAGCUAUUAUUGGUGUAAGUCCUAGGGGUAAUGUCUUGAACACAGAAACUCUCUUCAUUUAUUUCCUCUUUAUUAUUCCUUUCUUCCUCGUUACUGACACAUUUCUGUACAAUGUAGCCACACGGGGAGGAUAAGAGCUCAGGAAGUGACUGGAAAUUUUAUCCUUUUUUAGAUUUUAGCUGCCCUCACCACUGUUCACUUUCUCUUCUUCAGUUGAUUAAGAUACUUGAACAAUGCAAAUUAUAUAAUUGAAGGUAUUAAGUGCAUCUUUUUAAUGUAUGAAUACAUUGUGACAUGAUUGCCUCCAACAGCCUUACUAACCUAUUACCUUACCUAGUUGCCUUUUGUUUUUAACUGCUAGACAUGCUAUUUAUUAUUCUUUUAUAAUUCAGAACUGGUUACAUUUGUAUUCUAUUUAAUAUAAACUAACAAGAAGUAUAAAGUAUAAAGUAUAGCACAUUAUAUGUAUUCAUAUAUAUAUUCACAAUUCAAAAUGUUCAUAUAUAUAUGAAUAUAUUAAUAAAGUAUAGUAAUUUCUUGGUAUUCAUACAUAGAAACACUGUGCUUUAUACCGUCAAUGUGUACAGUUUGUGGUAUAUAAGUUGUUUGGCCAACAUGUCACCUCUGCCUUCACCCUCAGGUCUUGGUAGCUACUCUUCUCUGUUUCUUUGAGUUUGGUGUUUAAAAAAUCCCACAUAUGAGAGCAAGCAGUCCGUUUUUGCCACUCACUUACUUUGUUAACUAACUGAAGCUAUAGUUCACACUCAGCUUUAGAUUUAGAUGAAUUAUCUAUUAUCAAAUUGCUGCUCAGCUGCCAUAGUGCAUGGCACGUAAUCAAUGCCUGAUAAAUCAUGUUAGUUUCCCUUGAAUAUUGCGAACCAGCCAAGUUUAAAAUUCUGCUUCCUCAAAAGUCACUAUGUUCACAUCCAAGUGUUUGCUAACAAAUGCCAAUGAAUCCUUGGAUGCACAUGCCACAGGCAGACAAGGAAAUCAUGUUAGAGAGCCUGCAAGGAUGCAGAACUAGUGAAUGAGUACGUAGAGGCAUCGUCAAAGGAUUUCUUGGCUAAUCAUAAGGAAGACACUAGGCUUCUCUGACUUGGUCAGAGAAUCCUCUAGUAUGGGCACCAUAGGCUCUUAUAAUGCACUUAACACCUUCACUUAAAAAUGUGACUGUGUGAUUGUGUAAGUGAGAAUUUCACCAGGAACCCAGCCUAGGAUGUACAGAACAUCUGAGGACUCGCUUACUCAUUACAUAAGAUCUUUCCUAUUGGCUGUAUCUAAUCAAUCUCCUGCCGCCAUACCGCUAAGAUUUUUAGACAGGUGUGCCAACUCCCAAUGCAUAGCAGACUGUAAGCUUGAUUUGUCUGAGAAAGGGCCCACCAUUUUAGUUCAGGUUUACAAGGAAGUUACUGUGUAGCCAAGGCUUCCCUCAAACUUGGGAUCCAAUUACCUCAGCCUCCUGAUUGCUGUGUCCACAGAAGUAUGGCACCGUGCCCAGCUACAAGGACACAGGGUUUAGUGAAUCUCUAUAGUUUAUACUGAUUGUACAAUCAAUUUAUGUCUCUCAAAAGCUUCUAAUGGCUUCUAAAGUCAGCAUGGCUAAUGACAUUGAUUUUAGUAGUAAACAUUUAUUCAUUUAUAAUAUCACCUCAAGUUAUAUCAUUAUAUAUAUUAUAUAUUAUACAUAUUAUAUAUAUUAAAUCAUGAAUAUAAUAACAGUACAGUAAGCACAUUUUCUGAUGUGGUGUUGGAAUGUAGUAUAUAAAGUCAGAAACAGUAAAGUAGUUAAUGAAACAAUAUUUAUUUAUUAUUCUUUUAUAAUUCAAAACUGGUUACAUUUGUAUUCUAUUUCAUAUAAACUAACAAGAAGUAUAUUUUCUAAUUGUGUGAACUAUUAUUGAGAGAAAAAUAAAUGUAGUUUUUGGGCAUUCUUUUGCUAAUAAUAGUCUUGCAAAUGUUUUGUCGUUUUGGAAACUAGAAUUUUUCUUGUAUAACCUGGUUCAUUAUUUAGAAAAACUGCUAUGAAAUUAAUUAAAACUUUCUACUGUAACUUUCUAUACUUAGACAAACCUUGUCCUUGACUUUGAUUAUUUGUAUAAAAUUGUGUUUAGUACUUUGAAAUUUUUGCAGAAGAAAUGUGUGUUUUUUUCCUUCUGUAAAUUUUUAUUCUUUACAAAGCUUUCAACAUUCAUUUCUUCUUGAUUUUUCAAGAUGGACAGGGCAUGCUUCUAGUUAUAAGGUUGUUAGAGUACACGCUAAAAGAGCUAAGGUCUGAGCUUGUGUGUACAGCUAGCCAGUUUCCUGAUCAUGACUAAAGGCUUUUUAUUUUCCACAAUCACAGUGCACAGAACAGUCCAGAAAACUCAGACAACGUCUGUCAUUUAAUAGAAAGCCCUAAUGCUCUCACUAGCUUGUUCAAAACACAUUUAUCUGAGCAGCAGACCCUAAACUGAGUGGUCUGACCUUGGCUUCAGUCAAGUUUCCAUAUCACAGAAAUUGACACAUACCACAGAGUACUCAAUCUCAGCUCAUCUUUCCAUGUUAUAGUCAAAAUCAGCUUGCAUGUCUGUGAAGAGGUGAAUGUCCUUAUACACUUUUAUAAACCCAUUAUUAUACCCCAGUCUGAUGUCAAAGAGGGUAACAUGACUAGACUAGAGUGUAGAUCCCCAGGAACAAUAAAUACCACUCUCAUGUAAUGUUUCCAUUCAGUACUAGUAACAAUUGUAUCGUUUGUACCAUACAUUAGAUUAGAGAGGCAUAGCAGACUGGGUCAUAAUUUGUUUACUACACAAUGAAACUGUUCCUGAAAUCAGGAAACAGUGUUUUCCUUGAAUUUUUACUCAGUUUAUCAAAAGUAAGAUCAUUUUAAAAAUUACACACACACACACACACACACACACACACACACACACACACACACAAAACCAUACACAUACACAUAUAUUCAAACCUGAGUUUUCUCAACAUGGUUAAUCAUUACUAUCUAGUUGAUUGGCUUGAAUGAUGCUUAUGUUACUAAAGGAGCUUCCAGCAUGCCUGCAGGGCAUUUCCAAGGAGGAGUCAUAGAAAAAAAGAAAAAAAGAGAAAAAAAAACCAGAAAACCUACUAUGGAGAUGAUUUUGGUGCACCAGGCCUUAGCUAAGGGCAUGGGGGUGGGGGAUGAGGUUGAGAGAAAGCCAGGUGAUGUAGGUCUCUUUCCCUAUCUGCUUCCUGUCUACCUGCAGUAACAGUGUGAACCACGUGCUCCUUUACAAGAUGGAGUGAAAUCCUGGAACCCAUGAGUCAGAAUCAAUCCUUCCUUCUUUCAAUAGAUGUUUUCUUCAGGUGUUUUUUUUUUCUACACUGUAGACAGAAGUUUCUUUUUUUUCCCAAAAUACUUUCUCUUGCCUUUUCAAAACCUAUUUUCUGUUGAUUAUAGGUAAGUAUGCCACACUUCACAAUGUUUGGAAGGAUUAUUUGAGCAUCACAUUCUUUUAAUUGACAUUCUUACAUAAAAAAUUUGAGGUCAAACCCAGAACAACAGCUGAAUCCACUUAGAAAACUUGGACAUCUCUUACUUUCAAGGUGAAACAGUCAUUUACUCAGACCCACACACUACUAUUGUCUUUGUUCCUCCUACACUCUAGUUAAUAUUGUCUUAAUUCUCUACAUCAAAGCAAUAGUAUUUAAAAUAACAUUCUCAUUGAUGUAAUCACUGCUGUAAUCAUUAUCAAUAAAACAAGCAUACUGAAUGGGCAGCUUUUCAUUGAAUGAGGUAGCAUGCAAGAAAUUGUCCAGCAAAUCACACACUAGGAGUUACACAAAUGCCCUUUUUCAGUUGAACCAGCACAGGUGACCUGUUUUGUUCCCUUCCUUUGGCUUCCUGUUCUUCAUUUGGGUAAGUCCAUAAAAUAAAUACAAGGUAUAUUAAUACAUCAUUCUUAAGCAAGAGAGACUAAAAAAUAUAUUAACUUUUGGAAUCCAGUUCCCAAAAUCAUAAUUAAUGCUUUGUUAGGAAGGAUCGACUGUAUGUGCAACAGUAAGGCAGAGGAUUUUGAGGCUGUCCAUAUCAUGGAAUAAACACUGUAGACGGGUAUAUUCCAAUAAGCUGUGUACAAGUCUGCAAAGUAUGUAUACACAUAUAAGUAGUUUCUGUUUGUUAGAUUUCACCAUGUUUUUUAGGGCAUGGUCUGUCUAAUACAGCUUUUACAUGGAGAACACUGCAGUUCCUCACUCUCCCUUGUUUAAAGAUUAUAUUAUUAAGCCAUACUUCCUAAAUUCUGAGAUAUAUAUAUAUACCAAUUGAAGAAAAUUUUGAAUUAAGAAAUCUUAAGGAUAUUUACUUAUAGGGGGUUGGGGAUUUAGCUCAGUGGUAGAGCACUUGUCUAGCAAGCGCAAGGCCCUGGGUUCGGUCCCCAGCUCUGAAAAAAAGAAAAAAAGAAGAAGAAAAAAAACAAAGUAUAUUUACUUAUGCUUGUGGAUAUAAUGGUCCUUUUAUAAUUUCCAGUGAAGAUUCUAACCCAUUGGGCAGCAGUCAUCCCAAAAUCUGAAAUAAUUUCUAAGUAUUUUUAGGUUACAAAUAGAAGGAGUUCCAAAAGAAGGAGGUCUUCAUAAUGCAUAUCCAUAAACAGAAAAUCUAACUUUGAAAGAAUUAUUUUAAGAUAUGCUAGUUUCAAAUUUUCAUUCAUGUAUUUCUUAUGUGUGACCAGUAUUUCUUACAUUAAGCAUUUAGUCGAUCAAAAUUACAUUUUUAGCCCCCACUUAUACACCUUUAGCCCACAUAUAAUUAAACUUUUCAAUAGUAUGAAGAAAUUAAUACCUGUAAGUACCAGAGGUUUCCCAGAGUUCACAAGGUUAACUAAUGACAAUUAUUUGAGUCAAUUAUUUUUGUACCCAGCUCUCUUUAAAUCUAGCCCAUUUACCUUGUCAUCGCAUAAGCACAUAUUCAGCUAAUUGUGUCAGUAGUGACAAUUUGAAGUCAUUUGGAAAGGGGACAAAAUAUAAUUCAUUUCCUAUCCAUGUACGUUAAAUAAAAUAUAAGGAGUGGAUGAUAAUGUAGACACAAUCACAUAUACAUUCACAGAUUAAUAUAUGAAUGAAUAUCUAGAGAACAUACAUAUAUUGAGGUGUAUAGAUGCAACUCGAGGACCUAAUACAUCAGGCCAGCCAUCAGGCAAGAGUUCAUGCCUACAGGUUCGAUAACCUCCAGUACCCCAUCUGCUGAUGUCUAAGUGUUCACGAGCACAAGUCUCUGGAUAAAGUUUCCUAUCCACAUUAUGUAACUACUCAAGUAAAAGAAAAUAAAUAUAUUUACAUUUUUAAUUCAACUUAAAAUUAAUUCUCCCUAAUAAGUAGUUCUCUCCACAUUAGUAAAUGAAAUGUUUGACCUGUAGAAGACAUGAUGGAUGAGAAUAGUUUUUGAGUAGUCGAGGCUCUAUGAACACAUGUGUUUUCGCCUUGUGUUGAGGUACUCAAGGACUCCAUGUAUGAUCUGUCAAAAGUUAAGUAGAACAAGAAAAGCUUUUUUUCUUUUAUGGGAUUUUUUAUUUACAUUUCAAAUGUUAUUCCCUUUCCCAGUUUCCCAGACAUAAGCCCCCCAUCCUAUCUCCCUUCCCUUUUUCUAUAAGGGUUAUUUUCCUCCCUAACCACCCACACUUCCCCUUCCCCAACAUUCCCUGAUACUGGGGGUCCAGUCUUGGCCGGACCAAGAGCUUCUCCUUCCACUGGUGCCCAACAAGGCCAUCCUCUGCUACAUAUGCAGCUGGAGCGCUGGGUCAGUCCAUGUAAAAUCUUUGGGUAGUGGUUUAGUCCCUGGGAGCUCUGGUUGGUUGGCAUUGUUGUUCUUAAGGGGUUGCAAGCCCCUUCAGCUCCUUCAGUCUUUUCUCUAAUUUCGUUGAACUGAGAACAGGAUCCCCUUUGGAGGAAUUAGAGAAAGAAAAUCUUUUAAUGUAAGAAGCCUAGGUUACCUUGCUUAUAAAGUGGGGGAACUACUAUAAUUAUUCAUCCCACUGAGAUUAGAUGGCCUGUUUUGUGUUUGGAAAACAGAUUUUAAAAUAGUUCAAAUGUUUAACCUUGCAUAAAAAUGGAGAAAAAUGCAGAUAUAAUAAUGUCAAGAAGACUGGUUCUACCAUAGUUAUUUCCAACUGAUUAAAGUGCAAUAUGGGAAAAUGAAAUACUUGAAUUAAAGUAUUGUCAUUGGUUAAAUUAGUCUGUUUUACACUAAGUUAAACAUAAUGUUUUUAUACAUGUACAUGUACAUCACACACACACACACACACACACACACACACACACACACACA